UUUCAAUAUGCGUUUUGUAAUUUAGCUUUUGGGCAAUAUCCCACAUAUGUCUCUUCAUCAGUAUUUGCUCCUAUUGUAAUAAACACUGUAAAAGUCCAAAUAUUUGUUACUUGUCCGAAUGCAUUACUUACAAGUGUAACAGUCGAGAUAAAAUAAUGUUUUUCUCUAUUUUAUGAGUUCGACUUUAUUAUAGCUAGAUAUCAUAUAUGAUAUAUGGUCUGGUUAGUGUAAAAAAAAAAAAAAGAUAUAUGGUCUGGUUAUAUUAUAAUUUGAUGUAAGUAAUUUCUUUGCAUUUGAAUAAUAAGACACAUCUACCCAAUUUGUUAAAUCAUUUUGAGUUUUACAAAGUUUUAUUUUAUUUUAUUUUAAUUAAAAAAAGCUUGCAAUUUAUAAAAUAUAGGCCUAAAGGUUAUUUCCGGAUUAGGCCAUACAAAUCACAUUAGGGCCCAAUCCAUUUACAACUAACCAAACUAAAUUAUUGAGAAGCAAAAUCGACCGGGUUCACAAACCGAACUAAACCGGACGCUGAAACCCUAAUCUGCAAAGUGCAGACGCAUAACACGCAGUAGCCGCCGUCCAACUGAUCUGCGGGUACUCACCGGAACAGAACCUCCGGGUGAGCCUGGACGAUGCUAGUCGAACGGAGAUGGUGAUCCAAGAUCCGUUGCCAUCCCGCCACCAUAAAGCGGUUUUGAGAAAGAGGAAGAGAACCAAGCUAACUUUUGUUGAGGAGGUUUUCUUGCUCAGUCGUGAAAGAGGACAUCAGUGGGGAGCAGAUGAAGAGACCUUCGCCGGUGGCUUAGCUUCGCCAGAUCGAAGACUACCUCCCCAAUCAUAUUCGAUCUCGUGAAACCUCCAAAGACUCAAGACUCUUAAUCUAACUACUCUCCUCUCUCGAUCUUCGCCGUGAAUCUCCCUCUUCCACUCCGUGUCGCCACACCGCCGGUAGAGCUCAUCUCACAGAUUCUUCCUUGAUUUUGAACCAACAGCUUCGUCGGGAAGAUGUAAUGAAUCGCGGAUGAAGAACCAUGAGCCGAAGGGUCCUCAUCGUCACCAAAAUUGACUGAGAACCCAACGCCGGUGCAUGAGUUUGUGAUAAGAAGAAGAAGAGUUUUUGAGAGAGAAAUCGCAGCGAGUGAGAUCCACGCGCGCGACUCUCUCUAAAAUGUUUUUGAGUUUUACAAAAUUAAAUUUCAUACUAAUGCAAUUAAUUAAUUUUAGUGUAUAGAUAAGUUUUAUGUAGCAAAAUAAUAUAGAUUUUAUAUAUAACAUAUAAUAAGACUACCUCCACAUACUUAAAAAAUUGGGGUGUCUUUAAAUAUUAUAAAACUACCUCCAUUGGUAAAAAAAAAAUUGGCAUGUCUUCAAAUAAAAUUUUGGGUAAAUAGGAGGGAUCCGUAUCUUUUGAGAGACACUUCAGAGUUCACAUGCUUUGGCGUCGUUGGUAUGCCUUAGUUUUAACUUAAGGGUGUGACGUGUUCUAAAUAUUUUGGAUUCAAAUCUAAACUCUAGGGAGUUUAGUUAAGGUUUAGUUAGUACGCAUUUAUUAAAUUAAUUAAAACGUUUAUUUAUGAAAACCAUGUUCUGUUUUUUUUAUAAUAUACAAGUAUUAUGUUUACAAUUAGAAGUUACUAUGACCUAGAAAUAAAAGAAUAAAAAAUUGUAGUUGAAAACUGAAGGCAAAUUUGAGUGACUUAUAUAGAAUUUCUCUUAAAAAUGCUUAAAUGGAAUUUAAAUGAAGGAGGUUGCUUAGAAACGUGUGACUUAGCUUGUUGAACUCUAGGCGAGUGUGUGGUAUGGUUAUAAAAACGUUUGGAGCUUAGUUUGAUUAGUGUGGUUGGAGAUUUUGUGAGGGCAACAUUAUCGGGAGUAUCUUAGCCUAUCUUAGGGGGCUAAGAUAUCAUGGUUUUUGCAAAGGAAAUAUCUUAUAUAUUCUCAAAGGUUCAGGAUAAGCUAAAGGUUUAGAAAAUGUCUAGAUAUCUCUUUGUCUCAUAAGAUUCGCCCUGGUUUGUAACCCCGAGGUUCAUUCAACGUUGGUGCUCUAUAUGGAUGAGGGUUUCUAGCCAUGGCUUGUGACUCCGAGUUCUUCUAAGAAGCAUACAUGGCUGGCUUUGAAAACCCUUUAUGCCGUGGUACAACAUGCAUCUAUCUUCAAAACUCUUUUAAGGGACCUUCAUCGAAACCCAAUUACUACCAAGUUGGAGCAUGGGGCACGGUUGCUAUUUUUUUAUUUUCUGAAAAUAUUGCUUAGGAAUAUUGCUUAAAUAUUAUAUAAAAAUAAUAUUAAAUUGAAAAUCAUACAUCAUAUAAUAAUGUUACAUAAAAAAGGCUUAAAAAUUGUUUUCACAGAUUUGUUAAAAGCCCUUAAAGGCAUUCCUAAAACAUAUAUAUACAACAUUUCUUUGACUUUGUUAUAUAAUUAAUAUAUACCUUAAUGUUAUUUAUACAUUUUAUAUAGUAAUUACAUGUAUAACAAACAGAUCUGAAUUUCGAAACCCUGCUUUAAUUUCAAUUCCACAUAUUGCAUGCUUUUAUUAGAAUCUUUAAUUGAUAUAUAUGGAUAAAAACACAAAAAAGAAUGUAACUAAGCUUUAUUUUUAAAAACAACUCCGAAAGCUCAGUUUCAACAUAAGCAACAACAACAACAAAAAAAGAAGACAGAAACACAAAAAGAAUGUGAAUUAAAAAGAGAAAGAAAAAAAAACAAAGCAAAAGCAAAAGAGAGUGGAGAGUGGUAAGGCUCCACACUCAAACUCUUCACUCUCACUCCUUUCUUUUCCUCUCUUACCACUUUCCCCAAUAUGGCUCUCUUUCUCCAAACUCUCUCCUUCCUCCUCCUUCUUCUCUUCCCUUCCUCCACUGCCAUGUGGUGCGUUGCUCGGUUCGACGUUACAAGCCAAGCUCUUCAGGCUGCUUUGGACUACGCAUGUGCCGCUGGAGCCGACUGUGCACCUAUCCAACCUAAUGGUCUUUGUUUCCUCCCUAACACCGUUCAAGCUCACGCUUCUUACGCUUUCAACAGCUAUUUUCAACGUGCAGCCAUGGCUCCUGGCUCAUGCAACUUCGCCGGCACAUCUACAGUCGCAAAAACUGAUCCUAGUAUGUAUUUUACAUAACCAUAGUUAAACAAGAUUGAAUAACUUAGUAAAACUGUUAUAAUAGUUUAUGGUGUUUAUUGUUUUUUGCAUUCUUCAUGUUUUAUACAUUUUUGCUCUAACUUAGGUUUUUGUUAUUGUGUAUAGGUUAUGGAUCAUGCGUGUAUCCAAAUUCUGUGCGGUACGUAACUUUUAUGGAUGUGUUUAUUUUGCAUAUUACAUGUAUAUAUACUCGUAUGCACUAAGUAGUAUUUUUUGUUCUUUCUAUAUUUACUGUUCGUUUCUAAUAUAUUUACGUUCUUAUAGUUUUCUCUGGUAAAAGAAAAAGCUAGCUCACGAUAUUUUCAUUCAUUUGACUGAGAAUGAUAUGAUUCUAUUCAUGCGUCGUACGUACUAAUUUGCAUGACUUUUUAUAUGUAUAUCACAUUCGAUGAUUCUGGACCGUUGGAUGAUCUUUAAGAGUAAUCAUUCAACGGUAGAGAUAUUUGUUUGCUCAUCUUUAGUUCUGUAUUCUGUUUAUGUUCGUUAGUCAGAAUGGUACAAGUUUCUAAAUAAUUAAGAGAAAAGAAAGAAAAAAAAAAAAAAGAGAAAAAGAUAAAGAUAAAAAGCGUGUUGCAGUGUUUUACUUUAGAGAUUUCGUGAAUAACAAGUUUAUACAAGUUGAUGAUGUUAUUUGCAUUUUACUUAUAUUGUAAAAAGAUUCUUGAUUCUAAAUUUGUUUCUUUUUUCCGAUUUUUAAUCAUUUUCCUAAAAACAUCUACUUUAUAAAUUUAUAUCAAAUGUUUUAUGUUGUUUAUAUAUUAAGCUAUCAGUACUCGUAUCAUCAUUUUAAAAUUUGGAUAACGAAAAAUAAUGCAUUAGUUUCUAAGUCAAGUGAACAAGACAAUAAUGUUCUGAACUGUUUUGGUUUGGUCAUGGCAGCAACGCUGGAGGCUCAGCUUCGACUACCACAAUGGGAGGAACACCGAGAACAACCACUGGAAACAGUCCAAUGACGACACUGAGGCCACCAUCGUCUGGCACCACGACAUCACCGUUUGGAAUAAGUGGCGGUGGACUUAAUCCAGAGGGAACCACUACCACUAACACCGAUGAGUCUGGAGCUUAUGUAAUAGACAAGACUACUAGUACUGUCUCUAUAGCUUUAUUGGUUGCCUUACUUUUGUGGUUUAUAUAGGUGUUAAGUAGAUUCUUGUCGUAGAAUAUAUAUGUACGGUUACAACAUUUUUGUUAAAUGGGUUUUGUUAGUGAAUUGUUUCAUAAAAGUCUCUUUACAAAAAAAAAAGAGUUCAGAUCGCUAUUUUUGUUUUCUUUGUUUCUAACACAUAUUAGCACUUUUGGGUUUCAUUUGCAAGAAUUAUCAUUUUGGGGAGAUAUGAGUUAUGCCACUUUUUAAAAAUCAAAUUGGAGAACGGAGAUUUGCUAAAACAUUUAGCAAGAAUUAUAGUUAUAAGCCAACAUAAUUUACAAUUUACCUUCAUCACUAAUUCCAUUGGAAACAAAAUAAUUUCGUCAAUUUAGCGGUCAAAAUUCAGAUAAACGUGCGGAUUUUUCCUAUGUUGCAUGGAAGCGGAAACGGAUACGCGGAAACGAAACGUUUCGGAAACGAGAAACGAGUUUUUUAUGAAAUUAGGAUAUGGAAACGUGUUAGAAACGCUAAUAAUAUAUACAUAUAUCUAUAUAUAUAAUAUUAACAUCAAACAUCCAAACUAUAUUAAUUUUAAAAUUAUUUGAAAUAACACGUUAAUCAAAAUAUAUAUACUAAAUAAUUUAACUAAAAGAUAAAUAUUAAAACAUUGAAAUCCAAAAUUUAUAUAUUAAUAUAUCAUAUAUUAUUGUAUAUGUGUAUUUAAAUUGAAUUAGUCAGGUUUUAAAGUUAUAAAAGUAAUCACUCUAUAUAUUAUAAAUCAAAAUUUUUGUUUAUUGAGUUUCUAAAUUAAAAGUUUAAGAUUUCGUCGGGUUUCCAAAAUGGAAACGCAAAUUUCUAUUGUGUUUCUAAAUAAAAAAAAUUUGGAAUCGUGUUUCCGUUAGAAUUUCCGAGUUUCCAAGAGUUUCUGUUUCCGAAACGUUUCGGAAACGGGAAACGCACUUCGAAAAGAGUUUCCAUGCAACCUAGGAUUUUUCUAACCAUGUAGUCUGACUCGGGUCGCAGCCAUUAAUAAUAACUUUAAAUUUUGGCCCAUUUCCAAUAAAAUAUGCUUUAGCCGGAUCAUUUAAUCUCCUCGUUUUUUUAUAUUUAAUUCACAACUAUAUUAAAAUAACUUCGAAUUAAUAAGAAAUAUAUAUAUAUAUAUAUAUAUAUAUAUAUAUAUAUAUAUAUAGUAUAAUUGGUUAUGUCAUGGUAAUAGCUGUUAUGCUGCUUGUUUAUUUUUAAGUCAAUAAUUGAUAAUUAUUUCAAUGAUAAGUGUAGUGGUUAUAUUAUCCCAAAAUCAUGCUCAAGGUAACAUCAAACUUUGUGAGGUUAUGUAUGGUUCUGUCUGCAUAGAAGAACCAAUACCUACAUUCCGGUAAUUUUUCUUAUGCACAUCAGAUAACUUAAAAAGUUGGAUUCCCUAACAACCCCAAGAUUGUUAUACGAUCAUGCAUAUUUUUUUUUUUGUCGUACGAUCAUGUAUAAACUACACAUCAAUCCGCUUGUCAUUUUGGUAAUAGAAAUGCAUAUAGUAAGACAAUAGAAUUGAUGAGUGAAAAACAAUAGAAUUGUGAGAAGCAAACUUAAAAUGAGUAACUAUAUAAGUUCUUCAUCAACAUUGCAUCAACAAAUGAAUGUGCCACCAUAAGCUAGUCUAAACCAACAACAGAAGUAACAAAAGGGUACCUUGAGAUAUCACAUCUCCACCCAAGAAUAUAGUUGGUAUACAAAGAUCUAUGUAACUUAUAAAAUCUCAUAAUUAGAUCCUCUCUCAAGGAGUCUUCCUGGAUAAAACUGUUAUAUCUUACUUUCUAUAAAGAUAUUUUCUUAAGGAAAUAACACCUCUAAGAUAUCUCUCUUAAAAAAUAGCCCAACCCAAAUGUAAACGGUCCAACCAAGCACUUUCCAUAUAGCAACUAUCUUCCUACUCAUUUUGGAGAUCAAAAUUCUUCACGUUCCAAGCGAAAAUUAUAGUCACCUAAUUUGUUUUUGACGAGACUUGUAACAUCUUUUACUUUUACCUCUUGAUUGGUUGGCGUAGUAACAAAUAUAUUAUUUUACUCGUGCAUAUAAUAAUUCAUUUUGCUCUUUGUUAAAUUUUGGUUAAAUUAUCAAUAAAAAAUAAAACAAAUUAAAGAAACAAAAUCUGGGAAAAUAAAUGAAAAAUAUUUGGAUUCAUCCCUAAGGAUAUUGAGCGACUUUUAUUCACACCCUCUUAAUUAUGCAAUCAAAAUAUAAUAAUAUGUCAUGUCAUAAAAUAAAUAAAAAAUAAAUAAAAUUACAAUAAGGAAAAUAAAACAAAUUAAAGAAACGAAAUCUGUAGUUUUUUUUAUUACAGAAACUUUAUUUCGGCUUGGAUUUAUAGUAGCCUUAUAUUUUAUUUACAUGAAUUGAAGUACCAAAAUAGUGUAAAUUGAUCUUAAAAAGUUGACCUCUAAACAUAGUUUACAAAACUGAGAUUUUAUUAAACAAAAGCAAAAUAGUUUUCAUAAAAUUGAAUAUUAUAAUUUUUAUUAUUAAACAAAUAUGUUUAUGGAUAUUAUCUUUUUGCAUUCUAUUAUCAAAUUCGGAGUUCAAUUUUUUGCCACCAAACCAGGGUUAAUGCCAUUCAGAACAUUAAGAUAUUAUGACUAUACACUAAAAUAAUGAGUAAAUGCAUGAUAAGCAUUUAUUAUCUUUACAAUAUAACACUAUGCACUUAAAUAAUAGGACUAUGUAAUAAAAUGACGAGUAAGUGCAUGAUUAUCACAUUAUCUUUUAAUUUUCACUAAUAUAGCUAUAAUAAGUUCUUUUACUUUUUGUUUAAAUGCGUAAUUUAUUUUAAAAAAAUAUGUACAAAAGGUUUCAAGAGGUCGAGAACAAUAAUCAAUGGAUCAAAGUAAAGAGAGCCAUAACAGAACCAGUUUAAAUGAGAGGGAGGCAGCUCAAGGCAUGAGCAUGUUCUUUUAGCUUUAUGUGGUUGCAUGACACCCAAAGUUCUAUUAAGUGUGUUUAGAUUUUCUCAUCUUUUUUUCAGUGUAUAUGCUCUCACAUUAUUUAUUCUCAUCUUUGAUUUAAUAUUUAUUAUAUAUUCACAAACUAUCAUAAAUAAAAUCUAAAGAGCAUUAAACGUAAAUAAUAUGUACAUAAAAUUUAUCUUGUUCAUCCAUAUAAGAAAAAAAUAGUUACUUAGACGGAAUAUAAAAAUUUCAAAGUCUUAUAAAUAAUAUAAAUAAGAUAUAAGUUUGAUGCUUAACGGUUUUUUUAUACGAGUGUUUAGUAUGGGACAUAAUAAUCCUCAUAAACGUUAUUAGCUAUAAUAAGACGUGUAUUAACCAAAAAAAAUAUUAAUUACUUUGUAACUUUAUGCAGUAAAUUUGUAAUAGAAAAUACCUCUUUUGAGAAGUUUUCAAAUGUUUUAUUUCUCAAAAAAAAAAACUCUUUAAUUAUGCUUUCAUUGAAACUCUUAUACAGAUACAAAUAAAAUCUAAUAGUUAUUCAAACUAAAAUUUGGGCCUAAGUAAUAAAAUCGUACAUUGGUUCAGAUAUAAAUUUCAAAUUAAUUAAGAAAUAGUAUUUCUCAACCAUUCUCCAUUUUAUUAUUUUUAUCUAAUUUAUAUUUAUCUAUUCAAACUCCUAAUUAACAUUUUCAAGAAUAUCUAUGUUGUGAUAUUACGCGGUAUAAGACUUUCUGCGUUUUCAUAAUCUUCCAUGAGUGAUUACAAUCGUAUAACACCAAAACAUCAAACAUAUAUAUAUAUCUCCUAUUAAAACAGAAUAUUUUUAUUCAAAUCCUAAUAAUGAUUAAACUAUCACUAUCCAAAAAAAAAUGAUUUAACUAUGGAGGAUACUACAGGGUAUAAUACUUUGGUCCAUAAGUUAAUUAUUAUUUUUAAAUAUAUAUAUAUAUAUAUAUAUAAUUAUAGUAUAGUAAAAUGAUCGAUUUUCUACCAUAAAUAUUGUAGGAAAAUGAUAAGAAGUAGGAAUGUUAUAUCGCUUUCCUAUGAAAAAAUGUCCCUCAAAAAUUUUAUGCUGGCAAGAAUUUCAUAUAAAAGUGGUAAACAAAAUUAUUAUUUUUCUACCAAAUUCUUUAUAUGAAAUACAUCUUAUCGUUUUCCUACUAAAUAUUUUCAUUUACCAAAAUUAUAAGUGAAAUAUGUGAUUUUGUUAGUAGUUAUAUUAUUAGAUACAAAACAUAUACAGUUAACUGUUUGUGAUUAAUUCAUAUAAGUUGAUAUUACUUUGGGUAUGAUUGUCUUAAGUGGAUGCAAGAUCCAAAUUUAAAAAUCAUUUAUAUUUAUCCCUUUAAAACACACAUAAAUUACUACAUAAGUAUUUUGAAAUUUUCUUUCCUAUCAAUUUAUUAAGAUUAUUAUCAUAAUAUACAUUUUUUGCAUAGACAUACAUAUUAGGGACAAAAAAAAUUUGUAUAGCGCUUAUCGAAUCAGAAAAUUUUCACACUGUUGCUUGUAUUUUUGACCUUCAAUAUUACAAAGAAAGAAAAUUUCACUUUAAUUUUACAUUUUAUUUUAUAUUUUUUAAUGUCAAUGGUAAAUGAACCAUUAGAGAAAAAAGAAAAAUGUUAAAACCACAUCAAACCAUAAACACUUACUCAAAAACACUUCUCACUUUCUCAGUAACUAUAAAACGAUGUCGUUUCACUAUCCGCUCACAACACACGUGGCACAUCUAGAGUCAAACCCCAACCGCACAGACAAAGAACUCAAAUUCCAAUCCUAUCUCCAUCACCAAACCACUCUUCUCUGCUUCGAUUUCGAGUAAAAGAUCAAACAAAAGUCUCAAUCUUUUUUUCUGGGUUUCUAGUUUAUCACCAAAUCUAGCUUAAACAAUGAUUCACUAAACUCUCUGCUUCCGUGGAUUCAGAGUAAAAGAUCAUGAAGCUCAUAAGCUUGAGCAAGAAUGCUAAUUCAACAGCAGCAGUAGCUGUAUCUUCAAUACGGAAACUCCAAUUCCUCUCUUUGUCUGAAUCUUUGCCUUGUCCGAAGAUUUCGACUAAACCCACGUGUCGUCCUUGUAAGUUACUCCUCCUAAGAAUUUGAAAGUUCAAGACUUUGCUUGCCAAGUUUCGAUUUUGAUUCCAUGGAUUCACCAGAGAAACUAUACUUAAUUUGAUUUUGAAAGUUAAAAAUUUUGUAUUACUUGUUCAUAUGGAAUUGAAGCUUUUUUAAGAGUACGAUUUGAACAUUUCUAGUACUAACUAGUUUUGUAGUGAGAUGUAGACGGAGACCAAAGUUGGAUUUGCUCUGGGGAAAAUUUAGAGUUCGUGCAUCAGAUGCUGGUGUUGGAUCCGGGAGCUAUAGUGGUGGUGAAGAGGAUGGAUCUCAAAGUAGUUCUCUAGAUCAAUCUCCUGCUAGUUCGUCAGAAAGGUAACAAGUUCAUAUUUGUUUCAGUUACCAAGGGAAUCAACAUUGCUAAUUUUUAGAGCCUAAGAGUAUAAUUGUAAACAAUAUUAGCAGUGAAGUGAAGCUUCAAAGUUGAAAACUGUGUCCAAGUGUGAAAUACAUUGAUAUGGAUCUGUUUUUGUGUGGUCUGCUUAUUUUGUGUUUAACCCUUGUUUGCUGCAUCAGCAAGAAACGUUUAAAGGACAUAAAAGACUGGGAACUAAAAAUAUAUCAGGUUCUUAUAUGUAUCUUUCAUGUUUUUCUUGGAGUGAAAGCAUACUGAGUUGGGAAUCUAGUGCUAUUGGUGUUUAUGUGUCUGUAAGAGAGCAAUCUCAGUUGGGAAUAACGUUAGGCAUUUAGGUUCCUGUAAAGUUAUUUGAUUUAAUAAGUCUAUUGUGUAAUAAGGUUAAUUGAAGCUUAUGUGGGUCUACUUCUCUAUUGAAAUGUAUAUGUGAUUCUUGCAUCUUCAUUGUAUCGGUGCAGCUUAAAACCUCAGGGGCCAUUCCCUUACUCUUUAUCGAUAGCACUUGUACUAUUAAGUUGCGGUUUGGUAUUUUCUCUAAUCACUUUUGUGAAAGGAGGACCAUCCUCAGUUCUAGCAGCAGUUGCAAAGUCAGGCUUCACAGCUGCCUUCUCACUGAUAUUUGUUUCCGAGAUUGGAGACAAGGUAAUCUACAUAUGUGUCUUUCUAUUUUGAAGCUCGUCGCCUUUAGAUUACUUUUAUGUUAUCUGAAUUUUUGUGUAUGUAAAUAUCGUACCCUCACUUAACUGAGCAUGUGAUCUCACUUAUGUCGUUUUUGGUUGGCCAGACAUUUUUUAUUGCGGCUUUGUUGGCCAUGCAGUAUGAGAAAACACUGGUAAGUUUUCUGCUAAUAGUUCUCUCUUACUCCCUUUGAACCUUUUGUUGUAAUUUAUGAUGCUGAUGUUAUUGACCUUGGAUUUCUUGACAAGGUCCUUUUAGGUUCAAUGGGAGCUCUAUCUUUGAUGACUAUCUUAUCGGUUGUUAUUGGGAAGAUAUUUAAAUCAGUGCCUGCUCAGUUUCAGACAAGUAAGUUAUCCAAGGUUUCUUAAUCCUGAAGCUGUCACUUUGCUCAUACAAAGUUUUAUGAUAAAGAUAUGAUGAGAUGCUUCUCUGUCCUUGAACAGCACUACCAAUAGGAGAAUAUGCUGCAAUUGCGCUUCUCAUGUUCUUUGGAUUGAAAUCUAUUAAGGAUGCAUGGGAUCUUCCACCAGCAGAAGUCAAGAAUGGUGAGGAAAGCGGUAUCGAACUUGGUGAAUAUUCUGAAGCUGAGGAACUUGUGAAAGAAAAGGCGUCUAAAAAGCUCACAAACCCACUUGAGAUCCUCUGGAAAUCAUUCAGCCUUGUGUUCUUUGCGGUAAGAAAGAAGAAUUUGUAUGCAUUUGUCAAGAACCUUGACUGAACCAUCUACAUUAUGAUAAUUGGGGAUUCUUUGAUCUAACCAGGAAUGGGGCGAUCGAUCAAUGCUUGCAACUGUUGCGCUUGGUGCUGCACAGGUUUGAUUUGUACCCAUAACACCACAAGGUUUACUUCAGUAAACACUCAACCUAUCAUUUCUCUUUUAAUUAUGUGUUAACAGUCUCCAUGGGGAGUUGCAAGCGGAGCUAUUGCUGGACACUUAGUGGCAACUUUGCUUGCAAUCAUCGGCGGCGCGUUCCUUGCCAACUAUAUCUCUGAGAAACUGGUACGAGCAAAUGCUUACAUAAGUCCAUUUACAGAAACCGAAUUGUUCACAGACUAAUGAUAUAUUGAUGGCCUUUUGAUGCAGGUGGGCUAUGUGGGUGGAGCUCUCUUCUUAGUUUUUGCUGCAGCUACUUUCUUUGGAGUAUUCUGAGCUGAGUGAACGGUCUUAUUCUUACUUCUUUUGUUGGAAUCAAAGCUGGAAAGCAAUAAACCAAACCCUUGUAACAAUAGUUGUUGGAAUAAUCACAAAAAGGAAACAUUCUUAAUUACGAAUGGCAUCACACAUUUCACACACAUUCAUUCAUUCAUUCACAAGUUCUAAACAGUUCUCAGUAUUUUAGGUGAACAAUGAUCCUCAACAACAUCUCUGCUCCAUCAACAAAGUGUUGCCCUGCUGGAAUCAACGGCCUAACCUCUGCGAACCCGCAAGCGUUCUUAAACCUCCCGGUUCCUCCAGUUACAGACAGAUGUGACAUGGUGCUUCCAAUCCUAUAAAUUCCAUAGAAAUUGAGAUUAUCAUUGUACUCUCCACCUUCAAGCAUAACUGUGAAAGCCAUCAUCUGUGUGCUUCCAUCGGCUGAGCUAGCAACAUAAACCCCUUGAGCCUUACCAAGUGGCUGUGACCCCAAGUCAGGACCGGAUGUGACUAUGUCGUCAAUCACCGUGAUCGUUCCGAACCCAAGACUAAGACCAUCAGGACCCAACUGUGUCUGAAUCCCAUUUAGAUUCUGACCAGAAAACGCUGUUCCAGACAAACCAGUACCUAAAGGAAUACCGGUUAUACCAUUAGCCGUUGGCAUAGCGCCAUUUGCAUUGGGUAUAGCUACACUGUCUUGGGGUGGAACGAAACCGAUCGGCUUAGCGAAUGGUACUUGACCGUUGUAGAUAUUUCCAAGCAAACCAGUAAUAGGUCUUGCCGUAGGACUGCUCCCGCCAAGUAUAUCGUGCAUGUACAAUUCGAAAAUCGGGUCUUCAGGUGCAGGAUUGAGUGCAGUUGCUGCAGUAAAAAGAGCAACUAUGAGAAAGAUUGACGUUGAAAGUGAUUUAAUCAUCUUGGACGUUUUGGAUGGCUCUUGGUUUUGUUUUUCAGGAAAUAUUUGAAUGAUUUGAGAUUUUGAUGAAUUGGUCUAUAAAUACAGAGGAAAGUGAUUAAGUGAAGUUGUUUGCAUAUUUUAGGAUUGUGAAGUUGUUCAAAUGGGGAGGUUACUAUGGCCUUGUGUUCACUUUAUGUUAUUAAUUUUAUUUUUGAGACUUAAUCCGAUUUGGGUGGUUUAGGUUUGUGAGCUAUGGCCAACAAAAGUCAACUCUCUUGUUUCUAAGGGUACCUUACUGAUACGAACAGAUUAGGUGAUAUUUUUAAGGUAAUGACUAAUCGUGAAGAUUCUACAUUGAAAUUGCUACUUUUCAUAAACAGUAUUCAAGCCAAGCCAGGCACAUAGGCAAAUACAUUGGAUAGAAAAACUAAAUUUUCUUUUGAGAAAGUUGUCUUGGUCUCUUGGAGACAGUAAGAAUUGCACUAAAACCUGAUCAAAUUAUAGAAUUUGUGCAAAGGAAAAAAAAAUCAAAUUCUCAAGGUAACUGAUCUACCACCUUACUAGAGAAGGUUGAGGAUAUCACCAAAUAUUUUAAGGAUAUCCAUUUUUUUGAAAAAAACGGAUACAAAUACGGAUAUCCGUGUAUAUAAUUUUUUAAUCUUAGACUAACUUUUAGUCCAUUAACUUGACUAAAUAUUAUUAGUUAAUGUUCCUACUAAUUUUGAAAUAGAAGAAGAGGCCAAUAACGAGAUUAAAAUGAUAUGGAGAAGGAACAAGUGUGCUAGUAGUUUUUACCUCUCUGUUGCAUUCUCAUCAUAUCUGGGUUAGAGCAUGGUCACUUUCACAGAGAGACUUAUAAUUUGUAUGUUUGAACCUUAAACGAAAGUAACAUACAAUAUAUAAUAUUUUUAAUUUCUAUUUUUUUUAUAUUUGUAUAAUUUAUAUAGUUUGAAAUAUUUUUAUAUAAUUAAUCGUAUUUGAAAGUUUUAAUAUCCAAAUCAUAUUAUAUCAAGCUAAAAUUAUCUUUUAAAACUUUCUUCACUUAUCACCACGACCUAUAUCAGCCUAACAUUGUCAAUGGUUAUCACAAAGUUUAUUACUAUACCGGGGAGAGUGAAGAGGUCAAAUUUAUUCAAUCAGCCUUAAUUUUCUCAUUUUAUCAUAAUAUCUCAUUUUGAAAAAGUGCCAUACAAUGAGGAAAAAUAAGGUUUCGCUAAUUAAUAUUGUUUCAUGUGUCAUUGUUACUGUGGUAAGCGUUUGCAUCAGCGAAGAGGUUUUAGUCAUUCACGAAUAUGAGAAAGAAAGACAAAUGCAAAUAAAAGAAGGGACAUUCUCUAAAAUACCAUCAUUUUUGUUUUUAGAACACAAAUACCACAACACUAAAAUUAAAUUUUAAAUUUUCAUACUUUAAAUUCUAAAUUCUUUAACCCUAUCGCCUAAAUACUAUACCCUAAAUUGCUAAUAAUUAACCCAAAUCAAAGAUUUAAAAUUUCAUACCAUUGAACAAUAAUUUGAUUUUAGUGGUAUUUUUGGAAAGAAAACCAAAAUGAUGGUAUUUUGAGGAAUUCCUCUUAAAUUAUAUCAAGUCUAAAUAUAAUUAUGUUGUAUUCUUGGUUAGAUAUCAAUUCUACUCCGGUUCUUUUGGUUCUCUAUUUAUUUUUUGGUUCUGUUAUUUUGUCCAAGACGAUGGAUAAAACCAUUUUUAAUAGAUGUAUCUUAGCCAAAUAUUAGCCUAAGACCAACAUUAUUGGCGUUAGCUCCCUAAGAUAUUCCCAAUAAUGUUGCCUUAAAAUACCUCCACAUCGCAUACUAUAUACGCCAAAUAAUAGACUAGCAAAUGUUUAUAUAUAAAUGCCUCCUAAGAUAUUUUAUCAAAACCUCUAUAAGUUAUUACCGCUAGAACUUUGAUGAUUUAUUAAUUUAUCGAUGUUAAGUAUAUUAUAAAAGUUUAUUGUUUAAUACUAGUCACUUUCAAUAAAGAAAAAAGUUUCUAACGGUCUAAGCAAAAUUUUCAACAAACAUAACACCAAAAUUUGCUUCAAUUCAAUGAUUCUCUUUGAAAUAAAUUAUUUUACGUAUUUUCAAUAAUAAUGAAUCAUCAAAAUAUGCCCCAUGUAAAUAACACACGACUCAAUAAAAAUCAUGAAUUAACAUGUAGAAGGUUGUUAUCCAUUAUUAUUGUUAUCAAUUAUAUAGAAUAAUAAAUAUUUGAAAUUGUUAAAUAUAGUUUUUAAUAGUUUAAAUAGUCAAAAAGAUAAUAAAAAUGUUAUUUUUUUUCUAAAUGUACUCAUAUCCAAAUGAGUUAACUGGUUGAUUAAUACGAUACUAUAAAAAUUUAAUAGGAGAUAUAAUAAUGAAGCUAGAGAUGUAUAAAUUGAUCAUACCAUUGACAUCGACCAUUCAUCGAUGGUAUUAUCUACAGUGAGACCGUAUUUUCUCAACAUGUUACUAUAACCUCCACCGCUAAAAUGACCACCGACACCAACCGUCGGACAAAUCCCACCGGGAUAAGCUAGGGUUUUGCUCUUCUCCCAUAUAUUGUAAUAAACCUCUCCGAGGACCGGUUUGAACCCACGCGGUUUUGCUAACCACGUCGACAUCAACCGACCGGAGAUUAAACAUGUCAAGGACAAAGAACGGUUCACGAGAGUACGUAACGUACGACAAGCCAUCGUAGUCGUGGCCACCGCUUCUUAUUUUUCAUCUGAAGGUUGUUGCGUUUGCCGCAAGUAACCGCGGCUUGGACGUGUGAUUCAUGUGUUGUGGCGAUUAUAAGGAAGGGUUUUGGAGUGUUGGAGGUGUUGAAACGGAGGUUGCGUAUGUUGGCUUCUAAUACGGAGGAGUAGGAGCGGUUUCCGGCGAAUAACACGACGGCGGAGAUGGGAUGUUUGGGUUCGGAGUUUGAGGUUAGGCAUUGUGUGAAAGUAUUGGAUGAUGAGUUUGAUUCUUGUAUGAAGACGACGAAUAGUGGAAAAAGAAGUAAUAUGAUACUUACUACAAAAAAAAUGAGUGGAUUGAAUCAUUUAUUUUGUAACUUUACAUUACUUAUAAAUGAUAUAAUGAAUUUUACAUCACUUAUAAAAAUGAUACUUAUAUUGCCGAUGCAAAUAAUUUACAUCGGUUUUUACUCAACUGAUGCAAAGAAAAAAAAUUGUAUUAGUUCUUAUAACUGAUAUUAAUAAUGAGUCAAUUUGUAAAAGUGAUGCUAUUAUUUGUGUCAGUUAUCAUAAUCGAUCAAUUAUAUAUAUAUCAAUUUCAAACAAACUAAUAUAAUUAAUUUAAAAAAUAUAAUUAUUAAUUACGAAAUAAUAUACUUAAUUACGAAAUAAUUAUUAUUAAACUAAAAUAUUAAUUAAUUUUAAUAUAUUUACUAAUUAUUUGUUCGUUUGUUAUUUUUCCUAAUAUAUAGCAAAAUUAUGGUUUGAACGUUGAAGUAAAGAAAAAAUAUAUGUUUUUUUUAGGGUUUGAACGUUGAAGUAAAGAAAAAAUAUAUGUUUUUUUCUUGUGUAAAAAGAAAAAAUAUAUGUUUGCGUUUAUGAAUGUUAAAAAUGUUAAAAACUUAAAUGAAAGAUUAUAACAAAAGGGUUUGCUUAAAUUUGAGAGAAACUCAAUUUUGUUUUUAAUUGGGUAUGCAAUUUUUUCAAAAUCUACCAAACUAUGAAGACCUUAUAAAUUAAUUAUUUGAGAAAGUUGAAGUUGAAGUGGAAAUCAUUAAAUUUGAGUUGACUUUCAUUAAAAUCAUGAGAGAUUUGACUAACUUUUAGCAUAACGAUUAUUUUGGUUCUAUUAAUUACUUAUAUUACGGAAUAUAAAUAUAGAUGGCAAAUAUUCGAUUGGGACAUUUUACUAUUAUUAUAUAUAUAUAUAUGUAAUUUUACAUAAAUAUUAAUUUAUGUCACUUAUAGAUGAUAUAAUAAAGAUGUACAUAAAUUAUUAAUUUGGAAAAACCCAUUAUCUUCUCAAGUUCUCAUCCAUGGUUGUAGUCAUAACGUACGUUUCCAAAUGCCUCCAUAAACUACUUGAAAGUUUUUCCAACCAAAUUAGAUAGAAUUCAAUUGAAGCGGCAGGAUUGGCCACUAUUGACAUUUGAAAAGAAAAACAUGACAAAUCCAUUAUCUUCUUCUCCACCAAGCAUUAGAGCAAGAUGAUUCUGGAAAUGUUCAUGUUGUCAUAUUUUUAUUCUAGUUGAUAAAUAGACUUUACUUAUAAGCAUAUUUGUUUACUUAUACAUUGUGUGAGACCCUGGUUUGUGUAGAUGUAUAAAUGAAUUGAUUUGUUCACAUAUAUCACCAAAGUGUAUUUAUCGUUUCGGUUAAAGGUCCUGAGAGAAUUCCAAGGUUAAGCGUAUUUAUGCUGGAGUAGUUUAGAAAUAAGUUACAAGUCGACACCAGUGAUUUGUGAGCGCAAAUAUGUGUUUUUGAUUGCCUUGUUUGGCUGUUUUGGUAUUGUUGAUAUGUGGUUGUGAUCUUUGCUUAUGUGUAUAGCCCAAUAGAUGGGAAAAUCGUUUCACUGAGUAUUAUUGGUUUCCGCUGAUUACUUGUUGGUUUAAUCCAGUUAGGUUUACCUCUACAAGAGGAAAAGAAAACAUUUCAGGCAAGAAAAAAUCAUUUCUUAGCACUUAAAAUUGAUCAAUUUAACUUUUAUUGAUUAAGUGUUUAAACCAAGCAAAGAAGAACAAAAAAAAGAAUUUAAUAGAUCCAGCAGAUCAUUCAUGCACUGUCUAUAUGGUUAGUCAUACAAUACACUUUUAAUCUUUGUUUUAUAUGCAUUGUAAUAUAAGUGUUGUUCAUUUCGUUGUAGUCUUGUAGAGAUAAGUUAUGAGAGUAAAGAGAAACUGAGAGAGCUUUAUCGGCGAAAUGUGACCCAUGGGCUCACCUCUUUUAAUGGGUCUCACGUCCUUUCACUAGACCUGUGAGCCCAUCCAUAUUUGACGGCCAUGUUACUAUGUCCGGGUGGCUUAAAGAGUAGUUUACCGACCCUACAAGUCACCACAUUAUCGUUCUCUGCGUCUUAGCUUCAUUCACAGUGUUCUCACAAUCACUUCUUUGAAGUACAAACAAGUUUUUUCGGGACGUGAGUGAUCUUCCGGGAAGUGGUUGUCGGAACCUUGUGAGUAAGGCCAAAACACAGGGAAAGAUCAUGUGCCGAUUUGUAGAAUUGGUAAACAACUCUUUAAGCCUCCCAGACAUAGCAUAUCGGCCGUCUGGUAUGAAUGGAGUACUCACGGGCCUAGUGAGAAGACAUGAUGUCCGAGAGGUGGGCCCCUAGGCUGAGUGUGAACAUGGGGCCCACUGGGAUAGGUGACAGUCAGAGCGUUACAAUGGACAACUAAAAGAAGACCAUAUAAAUCAGUUUCUUAAUAUGUUACCAAUUAUAUAUCGUUCUUCUCCACUUCUACAUGCCCUUUAGAAGACUCUAAACAAAGAUAAGAAGACAAAAUACUAUGUUUACUCUUUUGUCUUCCAUUACGAUCAUGAAUUAAUUCCUCCAACAUUUCGAAGAAAAAAGAAAGUAAAACUAACGACUGAUCAUCUCUGUGAUUGUAUUAAAAUAUGUACAAUUUGGAAGAAAAUUGUAUGCUUUCUUUACUCAAGACUUGGCAUCACAAAUGAUACCAUAUAAGGAACAUAAGUCAUUGUUAUUCAUCAAUGCCUGCAUGAUUUAGUCUUUGUAUCCUAAGCUCAUUCUCAAACCGCAUAAGCUCAUCCCCUUAGUCUAGAUGGCACAAGCGUUUUGUAGGAGAAACAAACGUGUUUGUGUCAAAAAAAAUGAAACGAGGAAAUGGAAAACAAAUAGAACGAUGAAGAGGGCUCAUUUUUAGACUGAAUGUAAGUAUAUAAGAUAUAAACUACAUUGACUUGAUGAGGGCAAGUAUAAAAAGAUCAAGUGACGUAGAGCUUAAAUGACCUCUUCUAUUAAUAAUAAUGUAUCUGCAACGGAAAUUGAUCCAUUGUAACCAUUGUAAUAAGUCUCUCAAAAUCCUCAAAACAUAGGCUUCAAUUGGUAACAGCGCAUAAUCGCAUAAUGGCAUAAUGGCAUAAUCGAUUUUUGAUAAAUGUGCAUGAAAAGAGGUUAACAUUCAUGAUUCAGUUUAAUUUUUUUCCAACUGCCGAAUUUAAUGAGCUUAAAACUGGAAAAGGUUGAGAUCUAUAUUCCCGAGGAUUUAUCGAUAAUGGGAUGCGUAAACAUAUCGUAGAGCUAUUCUUAAUCCAAGAAAUGAUUGCUUUUAUAAAUUAAAUAAGUACAUGCUUUCUCAUCUACAAUCCACGAACAACAUGGAAGGGUCUAUUCAUGAAGUUGCAAGAGACCAAAUAGAACACUCCAGAACACUAUCUUAAUAUCAUACUAUAUCACUAGAAUGAGAGAAUAUGAGUCUACCAAGAUUAUAUACAACACAACUAGGGUACAGUGUCCCUUAUGUACGUGCCAAAACGUUGGUUUCUGAGUGCUGAAGUAAUGAGUUUAAAAGAUAUGGUAUUAGUUUGUUUAUUUUGUUUCACCUUUUUAGUUCUUUAUUUCCACAUCUCAAGUGCUUUUGUGUAUGUUUGGUUCAAUGCCACUAGAAGACUAUAAUGUAAUAUUGUGGUUUAAUUAAAGAGAUUGAGUUUUGGUUGUUAUGAGUUUAACAUUGAGAUUUGGUCGAGGCAGCUCUGAUAGCAGUAUAAAAGCAAAAGCGUAUAUAUAUAUAUAGUCUUCGCUCAUUACAACCAAGUUGAAAUGCAAAGCUUACAUAGUAUUAACUCGUAAACGGAAAGUGACAUAUAUAACAAAAAAAAUUAUUUUCAUAUUUUAAUUUUAAUAGUUUAAAAUUUAUGGGGUCUCUAUAUAAACAAAAAAAUGUAUAUGAAAAUAUAAAAAUAUAAAUUUUCUGUACUUAUUAGUUGAUAUUUUACUUUUUGUGGUAAAAAUGAAAUCAUGAGAGAGACUAAUAUAAGUUAUUGUAAAUGAUAAGAUUAAAAUAAGCCUCAUCCAUAGACGUUGUGACAUCUGCUAAAGUAAAAAGAUAUAUAAAAUUUCUUACUUUAAGGAGGUAUUUUUUACUCUUUUUGGUCAAAAAUAAUUCAGAAGAGAUUAAAAUAAGAUACAUGUAAAUGAUAAGAUUAAAAUUAGUGAAGUCCAUACACAUUGUGACAUUUGUCAAACUCAAAAGAAAAUGUAAUUAGGGUUUAGGCCCCUUUUUCUUCUCUAUGCAUAUAUAUAGCCAAUCAUAAGACAAGAACGCCGUUCGAGGAGCGUCAAAGAGACAAACAUACGACAUGUAUCGUUUGUUUAAGAUGAAGAAGAAUCCAAAGGACGAGAAUGGUGUAGAGGAGAUGAGGAGACGUAGUGGCACUACUACACGCUCAUGACCUAAUCAUAUCUUCUAGGUAUAUUGUUCUUUCUCCUUUACCAUCUCUUUUUAAGAUGGCUUGGUUGAUUUAGUAUUUUCAGAACUGUUUUGAUAUAUGGUUGAUUGUAAUUAGGGUCUCCGGUGUUGAAGAUUAAGUAGAAUACAAAGGCGAGAAUGCUGUAGAGGAAAUAUGGUGGCACCAAAACAUCUUUUAGAUAUAUGCUUUACAGUCUCUCUUUACAAUGGCUUGGCUGAUUCAAUAUAUUCAAAAACUGUUUUUACUGUAUUUAGGAUAUCUUCUCUAUUCAUUUAUAGUCUCGAGACAUAUCACCUUUUUUGAAAUCCAUAACUGUAGGAGAAGUGUCACGCAGCCGCCCAAAAAGACUUAUCUCCGUUGUUGAAGAUGAAGAAGAGAAUCCCUAGGGAUGCAGGAAAUGUGGUGGCACGACACGCUCUUGAAUCCGAUCUUUCAAGUAUAUUCUUUUUACUCUUAUCUCCUCAUUUAUUAUAUAUUAUAUAUUUUUAAUAUAUUCACAUCCUUUUUAUACAUAAAUAUAUCCAAGCAUGUCGAGACAUAUGUGGUAGCACAACACAACAGUCAACAAGGUCACGACUUACAAAUCAUAUCUUUCAUGUAUAUCUAGUACCUACUUUACCACUUUUCUUAUGGUUGGUUCAAAUUUUCUCAAAACUGGUUGAGAUGUUGUAGAUUUUUGUGGGGUAAACAAUUAAGUGAUUUUGUGGGGUAAACAAUGAAUUGAUUUUGUAGAUAUCAAGUGCCUACUUUAUCACAAAGUAUGUUUACUUUUAUCUUUUCCUUUGCCAUAAUCAAUUGGUUUAUCCAACAUUUGAGGGAAAAGAAAAAUAAAAAUAAAAACUAAAAAUACAUCUAAAUUGCAUUAAAGUUAAACGUAGAAUUUGAAUCGAAGAAGACUGAAUGCUUGAUUUUCUUAAUCAAGCUGUUUUUUUUUACCGCAUGAGACACAAUGGAACCAAUCAUCAACAGCAAAUAGGUUUAUCCUAUUUCAAACCAAAUUUAUCACAGUUUAUUACAUAAUCUAGUUGGAAAGAAUAAUCACAAGAUUUACCAUCCUUUUCAUAUGAGCAGUAAGAAAGUCUUGUGAGAUGUCUUUUCAUCUAGCCUAUGUUUUGAAUAGUGGUAGAUAAGGACUAAAGGAAGAUAAGCCAUAUUGUGACGUUAAUGGAUGGUUUUAUUGUAUAUCAUGUGGUAAAAUGAACAAAUUGCUUGAGUAAAUAAAGCAUACAAUUUUCUUUCAAAUUGAAUAUAAUUUAAUACAGUCAUAGAGAUGAUUCUUUCGUUUUCCUCUCUUAUUUCUUCAAGAUGUUGGAGGAAUUAAUUGAUGAUCGUAAUGGAAGACAGAAGAGUAAACAUAUCGUGUUGUCUUCUUCUCGUUGCUUAGAUUCCUCUAAAGGGCACGUAGAAGUGCAUAAGAACUAUAUGAAAUUGGUGAAAUAUUUAAGAGGGAAAGUUAUUAUUAUGGAAAUAUUUCUUGUUCGCAUAUUGUUUACAUGAAAUGAAUUGCACCAAAUAAUUAGAGAAUAAUGAGUUUGAACCCAAAGCAAAGUGACAUAUGUAUUAUUAUUUUAUUUUAAAUUUAAAAUGUGUUCUUAAUAUAUAUAUAUAUAUAUAUAUAUAUAUAUAUAUAUAUAUAUAUAUUUAAAUUGUGUUCUUAAUAUAUAUAUAUAUGUAUAUCUAUAGUUUAUAAUAAAUUUAGAAAAAUAUAUAAAUAUAAAAAUUCUUUACUUAUUAGCUUUAUAUAUAGUAUUUGUCAAAAUCAUUACAAUUUGUGGUCAAAACUAAAUCAGGAUAGAUUAAGAUACAAUACAAGUAGUCCACAUACGUUGUGACAUCUGCCAAACUCUAAACAAAAACUGCAGUUAGGGUUUAGGCAUUGUUUCUUCUCUUAAUAAUCUAAGAAAAGUAUAAAUAUAACUUUGCUUUACUUAUUUGUUCCAUUUGUGGAACGACGAUCUAUUUCCCCCAGGAACUUUCAUAUACGAUCAGUUCCACCCAAACUUUCAGUGUCUCUCUAUGUCUCCCUCGAAAAAUAGUUCCACAAUUAUUUCUCCCCAUAUAUAAAGUUCGAAAUUUACUUAUCCACAUAAUCGAAGUUCGAAACUGAUUUAAACAUCGAGUUGGGUUAUUAUUGGUUUACUGUAAACCAAUCUUGUUUUUAACCAAUAAAAACAAAUUAAACCAAUCAUACACCAAUUUAACUUAAACCUUAACCCGAUUAAAACCUCAAAAAAAAAAAAUCCCCAAAACAAAAAUCCCCAGAUCGAUAUCAUCUUCUUCUUACGAUACAAUCAAGUUCAUAACUGAAGAAGAAGAAGAAGUUUUUUGAUGAGUUCAAAACAGACUAGUUAAAUUAGAACAUAAUCAAGAAUGAGAAACAAACCUUAGAUCUAGAUCCAACGGAACUGAUACGACGACUAGUAGCUUCGUAACCAUCGACAUAACGAGAAGGAGAAGAAGAACCACCACGAAACCGGUGUUUCUGUACCUAUUUUCCGACCAACCAAUCUCCCGUCCAACGAUAACGACGUCGCUCGUCUCCCAAUCAUCCUCCAUCUCCACGGCUUCGGUUGGAUCCUUUACCCGGCCAAUUCCGCCGCCAAUAACCGUUGUUGCUCUCAGAUGGCUAAUGAGUUAACGGUGAUUAUCGUCUCCGUGAACUACCGUUUAGCACCUGAACAUAGACUCCCACCUCAAUACAACAACGCAUUGGAUGCUCUUCUUUGGGUCAAAAGACAAAAUAGUGUUAUGUCUAUCUGCAAUAAUUUGUUAUGUCGUCUGCUGUGUAGCUUACCCGUAAUUUGAAUUGUUCUUGAUUACUUUGGCUUCUUUGAUCGUCACCAAAAGCUCUGCCACCACUUGUCCAUCUCUCAUAACGCGACGAGAAGACGAAGAAGAAGAAGAUAGAAACAAAGCAUAACAGUGUACUGAGAUACUAAGUUUGGUUUGUAAUUGGUUUAAUUUUGUUUUUAUUGGUUAAAAUAAGAUUGGUCUACAGUAAACCAACAAUAACCCAACUCGAUGUUUAAAUCAGUUUCGAACUUCGAUUAUGUGGAUAAGUAAGUUUCGAACUUUAGACAUGGGGAGAAAUAAUUGUAGAACUAUUUUUUCGAGGGAGACAUAGAGAGAUGCUGAAAGUUUGGGUGGAACUGAUCGUAUAUGAAAGUUCCUGGGGGGAAAUNNNNNNNNNNNNNNNNNNNNNNNNNNNNNNNNNNNNNNNNNNNNNNNNNNNNNNNNNNNNNNNNNNNNNNNNNNNNNNNNNNNNNNNNNNNNNNNNNNNNUGUGGUCAAAAUGAAAUCAAGAGAGAAAAGAUAAGAUAUUGUAUAAAAUUUGCUUCAUGCAUGAAGCGUUGUGACAUCUGUCAAAGUCAAAAUAAAUAUAAAACUUCUUACUUUAAGGGGAUAAUUUACUAUAUUUUGUGGUCAAAGCUCAAACCUAAAUCAGAAGGGAUAACUAAGAUAAAAUACAAGUAAAUGAUAAGAGUAAAAUCAGUGUAGUCCAUAGACAUUGUGACAUUUGUCAAACUAAAAAGAAAAACUGUAACUAGGGUUUAGGCAUUGUUUCCUUCUCUAUGCAUAUAUAUAUAGCUGAUCAUACCACAAGAACGCCGUUGGAGGAGCGUCAAAGAGACAAACGUACGACUUGUCUCGUUUGUUUAAGAUGAAGCAGAAUCAAAAAGUGAGAAUGGUGUAGAGGAGAUGAGGAGAUGUGGUGGCACUACUACACGCUCAUGGCUUAAUCAUAUCUUCUAGGUAUAUUGUUCUUUCUCCUAUACCAUCUCUCUUUAAGAUGGCUUGGUUGAUUUGGCAUUUUCAAUACUUUUUGAUAUAUCUUUUAGAUAUAUGCUUUACGGUCUCUUGUUACGAUGGCUUGGCUGAUUCAAUAUUUUCAAAAACUGUUUUUAUUGUAUUUAGGAUUUAGUCUGGAGACAUAUCACCUUUUUCGAAAUCCAUAACUGUAGGAGGAGCGUCACACAUCCGCCCAAAAAGACUUCUCUCCUUUGUUGAAGAUGAAGAAGGAAAUCCCUACGGAUGUAGGAAAUAUGGUGGCACGACACGCUCAUGAAUCCAAUAUUUCAAGUAUAUCUAGUACCUACUUUACCACUUUUCUUUUGUCAAAUUUUCUCAAAACUGGUGUAGUUGUGGUUAAUUAUGUGGGGUAAACAAUGUCAUUAAAUUCAUGAACUUGGUCAUUUAGGUCAAUUAAACCAUGAACUUUGCAUGCAUACAUACACAUUGACUUGCAUAGUAAAACAUAUAACAUAGUUAACCAAGCUAAAAACAAGAUGUCGCUAAGUCCGAUAAUGGAGCAAUUAAUAGUUGUUAGUCUGUUAACAACAUGAUUUAUGAAUGAUUUGCAUUUUUAAUCUCUUUAUGAAGUAUGCACAAUGACAUGUUGUUAACUGCUCCGUUAUCGGGCUCAACGAUAUUUUGUUUUUGGCUUGGUUAAAUCUGUUUCAUGUUUUAGUUUGCAAGUCAAUGUGUAUGUAUGGUUUAAAUGGUCUGCAUGAAAGUUCAUAGUUUAAUCGGCGUAAAUAACUGAGUUGAUAAAUUUAAUGACAUUUUUCCCAAUUUGAAUCAAAGAAGAUUGAAUGCUUGAUUUUCUCAAUCAAGCUGUUUUUUUUCACUGCAGGAAACAAAAUGGAACCAAUCAUCAACAGCAAAUAGGUUUAUUCUAUUUUAGCCUAAUUUAUCACAGUUGAUUGACAUAAUCUAGUUGGAAAGAAAAGUGACAAAAUGUACCAUCUUUAUCACAUGACCAUUAAGAAACUCUGUGAGCUGUCUUUUUUAUCUAGAUUAUGUUUUGAAUAGUGGUAAAUAAGGUCUGAAGGAAGAUAAGCCAUGUUGUGACAUUGAUGGAUGGUUUUAUUGUAUAUCAUGUGGGGGGAAAAAGAACUUGCUUGCGUAAAGAAAGCAUAUAAUUUUCUUUUAAAUUGUACAUAUUUUAAUACAAUCAUAGACAUGGAAGAUUGAAGAGAAAACAUAUUUUGUUGUCUUCUUCUCGUUGCUUAGAUUCCUCUAAAGGGCACGUAGAAGUGCAUAAGAACUAUAUGAAAUUGGUGAAAUAUUUAAGAGGGAAAGUUAUUAUUAUGGAAAUAUUUCUUGUUCGCAUAUUGUUUACAUGAAAUGAAUUGCACCAAAUAAUUAGAGAAUAAUGAGUUUGAACCCAAAGCAAAGUGACAUAUGUAUUAUUAUUUUAUUUUAAAUUUAAAUUGUGUUCUUAAUAUAUAUAUAUAUAUAUAUAUAUAUAUAUAUGUAUAUCUAUAGUUUAUAAUAAAUUUAGAAAAAUAUAUAAAUAUAAAAAUUCUUUACUUAUUAGCUUUAUAUAUAGUAUUUGUCAAAAUCAUAACAAUUUGUGGUCAAAACUGAAUCAGGAUAGAUUAAGAUACAAUACAAGUAAAAUCAAUGUAGUCCACAUACGUUGUGACAUCUCUCAAACUCUAAACAAAAACUGCAGUUAGGGUUUAGGCAUUGUUUCUUCUCUUAAUAAUCUAAGAAAAGUAUAUAUAUAACUUUGCUUUACUUAUUUGUUCCAUUUGUGGAACGACGAUCUAUUUCCCCCAGGAACUUUCAUAUACGAUCAGUUCCACCCAAACUUUCAGUGUCUCUCUAUGUCUCCCUCGAAAAAUAGUUCCACAAUUAUUUCUCCCCAUAUAUAAAGUUCGAAAUUUACUUAUCCACAUAAUCGAAGUUCGAAACUGAUUUAAACAUCGAGUUGGGUUAUUGUUGGUUUACUGUAAACCAAUCUUGUUUUUAACCAAUAAAAACAAAUUAAACCAAUCAUAAACCAAUUUAACUUAAACCUUAACCCGAUUAAAACCUCAAAAACAAAAAAAAAAAAAAAAUCCCCAAAACAAAAAUCCCUAGAUCGAUAUCAUCUUCUUCUUACGAUACAAUCAAGUACAUAACUGAAGAAGAAGAAGUUUUUUGAUGAGUUCAAAACAGACUAGUUAAAUUAGAACAUAAUCAAGAAUGAGAAACAAACCUUAGAUCUAGAUCCAACGGAACUGAUACGACGACUAGUAGCUUCGUAACCAUCGACAUAACGAGAAGGAGAAGAAGAACCACCNNNNNNNNNNNNNNNNNNNNNNNNNNNNNNNNNNNNNNNNNNNNNNNNNNNNNNNNNNNNNNNNNNNNNNNNNNNNNNNNNNNNNNNNNNNNNNNNNNNNGAAACCGGUGUUUCUGUACCUAUUUUCCGACCAACCAAUCUCCCGUCCAACGAUAACGACGUCGCUCGUCUCCCAAUCAUCCUCCAUCUCCACGGCUUCGGUUGGAUCCUUUACCCGGCCAAUUCCGCCGCCAAUAACCAUUGUUGCUCUCAGAUGGCUAAUGAGUUAACGGUGAUUAUCGUCUCCGUGAACUACCGUUUAGCACCUGAACAUAGACUCCCACCUCAAUACAACAACGCAUUGGAUGCUCUUCUUUGGGUCAAAAGACAAAAUAGUGUUAUGUCUAUCUGCAAUAAUUUUUUAUGUCGUCUGCUGUGUAGCUUACCCGUAAUUUGAAUUGUUCUUGAUUACUUUGGCUUCUUUGAUCGUCACCAAAAGCUCUGCCACCACUUGUCCAUCUCUCAUAACGCGACGAGAAGACGAAGAAGAAGAAGAUAGAAACAAAGCAUAACAGUGUACUGAGAUACUAAGUUUGGUUUGUAAUUGGUUUAAUUUUGUUUUUAUUGGUUAAAAUAAGAUUGGUCUACAGUAAACCAACAAUAACCCAACUCGAUGUUUAAAUCAGUUUCGAACUUCGAUUAUGUGGAUAAGUAAGUUUCGAACUUUAGACAUGGGGAGAAAUAAUUGUAGAACUAUUUUUCGAGGGAGACAUAGAGAGAUGCUGAAAGUUUGGGUGGAACUGAUCGUAUAUGAAAGUUCCUGGGGGGAAAUAGAUCGUCGUUCCCUUAUUUGUUGAUAUUUUUUACUUUUUGUGGUCAAAAUGAAAUCAAGAGAGAAAAGAUAAUAUAUUGUAUAAAAUUUGCUUCAUGCAUGAAGCGUUGUGACAUCUGUCAAAGUCAAAAUAAAUAUAAAAUUUCUUACUUUAAGGGGAUAAUUUACUAUAUUUUGUGGUCAAAGCUCAAACCUAAAUCAGAAGGGAAUAACUAAGAUAAAAUACAAGUAAAUGAUAAGAGUAAAAUCAGUGUAGUCCAUAGACAUUGUGACAUUUGUCAAACUAAAAAGAAAAACUGUAACUAGGGUUUAGGCAUUGUUUCCUUCUCUAUGUAUAUAUAUAGCUGAUCUUACCACAAGAACGCCGUUGGAGGAGCGUCAAAGAGACAAACGUACGACUUGUCUCGUUUGUUUAAGAUGAUGCAGAAUCAAAAGGUGAGAAUGGUGUAGAGGAGAUGAGGAGAUGUGGUGGCACUACUACACGCUCAUGGCUUAAUCAUAUCUUCUAGGUAUAUUGUUCUUUCUCCUAUACCAUCUCUCUUUAAGAUGGCUUGGUUGAUUUGGUAUUUUCGAUACUUUUUGAUAUAUCUUUUAGAUAUAUGCUUUACGGUCUCUCGUUACGAUGGCUUGGCUGAUUCAAUAUUUUCAAAAACUGUUUUUAUUGUAUUUAGGAUUUUGUUCUCUAUUCAUUUAUAGUCUCGAGAGAUAUCACCUUUUUCGAAAUCCAUAACUGUAGGAGGAGCGUCACACAUCCGCCCAAAAAGACUUCUCUCCCUUGUUGAAGAUGAAGAAGGAAAUCCCUACGGAUGUAGGAAAUAUGGUGGCACGACACGCUCAUGAAUCCAAUAUUUCAGGUAUAUCUAGUACCUACUUUACCACUUUUCUUUUGUCAAAUUUUCUCAAAACUGGUGUAGUUGUGGUUAAUUAAGUGGGGUAAACAAUGUCAUUAAAUUCAUGAACUUGGUCAUUUAGGUCAAUUAAACCAUGAACUUUGCAUGCAUACAUACACAUUGACUUGCAGAGUAAAACAUAUAACAUAGUUGACCAAGCUAAAAACAAGAUGUCGCUAAGUCCGAUAAUGGGGCAAUUAAUAGUUGUUAGUCUGUUAACAACAUGAUUUAUGAAUGAUUUGCAUUUUUUUAUCUCUUUAUGAAGUAUGCACAAUGACAUGUUGUUAACUGCUCCGUUAUCGGGCUUAACGAUAUUUUGUUUUUGGCUUGGUUAACUCUGUUUCAUGUUUUAGUUUGCAAGUCAAUGUGUAUGUAUGGUUUAAAUGGUAUGCAUGAAAGUUCAUAGUUUAAUCGGCGUAAAUAACUGAGUUGAUAAAUUUAAUGACAUUUUUCCCAAUUUGAAUCAAAGAAGAUUGAAUGCUUGAUUUUCUCAAUCAAGCUGUUUUUUUCACUGCAGGAAACAAAAUGGAACCAAUCAUCAACAACAAAUAGGUUUAUUCUAUUUUAGCCUAAUUUAUCACAGUUGAUUGACAUAAUCUAGUUGGAAAGAAAAGUGACAAAAUGUACCAUCUUUAUCACAUGACCAUUAAGAAACUCUGUGAGCUGUCUUUUUUAUCUAGAUUAUGUUUUGAAUAGUGGUAAAUAAGGUCUGAAGGAAGAUAAGCCAUGUUGUGACAUUGAUGGAUGGUUUUAUUGUAUAUCAUGUGGGGGAAAAAAGAACUUGCGUGCGUAAAGAAAGCAUAUAAUUUUCCUUUAAAUUGUACAUAUUUUAAUACAAUCAUAGACAUGGAAGAUUGAAGAGAAAACAUAUUUUGUUGUCUUCUUCUCGUUGUUUAGAGUCCUCUAAAGGGCACGUAGAAGUGCAUAAUUAAGAACUAUAUGAAUUUGGUGAAAUAUUUAGAAACUGAUUUUUAUGAACCUCUUAGUUGUCCAUCAUAAAAACAAAUCGUAGUAAAAUCGUUUUUAAUUGUUGUUAAAAAAAUUACUCUACUCCUUUAAACAUGUUUAAUGAUUUGUCUUCUAAGAUGUUAUGACUGGUUUCCUCUUUUGUUGUUGUUUAAUUUGAUAUUGAUUAUAGAUCAAAGAAGACAACUUCACGAUAAUUUUUACAACUUUCUUUAUUCACUAUUUCUAAUUGUUGAAUCAUGUGAAUCUUCCCCACCAUAAAAAUUAAACAUUACACAGUGCAUGGAAUCGUAAAGCCUAAGAAAAAAAUUAACGUAACAUUACGAUUCCAUGCAAUGUGUAAUGUUAACUAUUCGACUUGUCAUACUUUUUUGUUGGCCACUGUGUUCAUACAUUAAAUUACGAGUGGCCUAGUAACUAAAACAUUAAUAUGGUCAUUUUUCUCUUAGAAGCUUGGUCGAAUUUGUUUUUGAAAUUGACGAAUGAGAGAGGUUGAGUUUUCCUCCAAUGAGUUUAUCAAGCUCAAUUUGGGAUUGGAGAAACUGUGAAACUAUUAUAAGCGAGGUUCAUAUCGCGGAGAUGACACAGUCUAAAAGGAAAAUUAUUUGGCUCAAGCCGGCCAUAGAGACAACUGGAAUUAAGGUCUAGUCCGAUCUAGUCACUAGACCUCGCAUCACAAGUGAUAUCAUAUCAAGAACAUAAGUCAUUGUUAUUAAUCCAUGCAUGGUUUUGUCUUUUGUAUCCCAAAGUCAUUCUUAAACCGCAUAAGCUCAUCCCAAAGUCAUUCUUAAACCGCAGUUCUUAAAAUUUAUUCUUAAUAUAUAUAUAUAUAUAUAUAUAUAUAUAUAUAUAUACAUAUAUAGUUUGUAAUAAAUUUAGAUAAAAAUAGAAAUAUAAAAUUUCUUUACUUAUUAGCUUAAUAUAUAGCACUUGUCAAAAUCAUGAGAUAUUUUUUACUUUUUGUGGUCAAAAUUAAAUCAUGAAAGAUUAAGAUAAGGUACAAGUAAAUGAUAAGAGUAAAAUCAGUAUAGUUCAUAGACGUUGUGACAUCUGUCAAACUCUAAAUAAAAACUGUAGUUAGGGUUUAGGCAUUGUUUCUUCUCUAUGCGCAUAUAUAUAUAUAUAGCUAACCAUAAGACGAAGAGAGCUGUUGGAGCUAGGAGCGUCAAAGAGAGAAACGCACGACUUGUCUCCUUUGUUGAAGAUGAAGCAGAAUCCAAAGGGGAGAAUGGUGUAGAGGAGAUGUGGUGGCACUACUACAAGCCCACGAGAGUCCUAUCUUUUAGGUUUAUUGUUUUCUUUAGUUUAUUGUCUCUCUUUACGAUGGCUUGGUUGUGAUACGGGGAUGAUGGUAAAUAAGGUCAUCUCUUCUCUAUUCAUUUAUAGUCAAGCAUGUCGAGGCUUAUCACCUCUUUCAAAAGCCAUAGUCGUUGGAGGAGCUUCACGUAUCAGGGAAUCCCAAGGUAUGGAGGAAAUGUGGUGGCACGACACGCUCACGAAUCUGAUCUUUCAGGUAUAAUCUCUCUACUCUAGCUACCACUUAUUGUGUCACAAUACGCUCACGAAUCCUAUCUUUUAGGUAUAUAUAUUAUUUUUUCCUACUUUACCACUUGUAUCAUGGUUGAUUCGAAAUUUCUCAAAUCUGUUAGUAUGUGGUUGAAUUUGUGGUGUAAACGAUGCACAUAACAGGCAAAAAUAUUUACGUUAAAAUCAUUUGACUUUUAAUGAUUUAGUUGUUAAUUAGACCAACAGAUUAUAAUACAAUCAAUUUAUUUUUAUUCUUGCUUUAUAUGUAUUCUGUUUCUUAUAGAAUUUUUGUUCAUUUCUGUGUAAAAUGUGUGAUGAAAGUAAACAGAAACUGAGAGAGCUUUGUCGGUGAAAUGUGACAGAAGUGGUGCAUUGUGUCCAUUGUUUCAACGGUACGUAUUUUUCUUUCUUGGUUUUUGGUUUUGUUUGGUUGUUGAUAAUCUUUAUAUAUAUAAAGUUAGUUUUUUCUCUUUUCUCAUGAUGCCACCUAAGCAUCCACCUAACCCACAUAUUUUUUACAUUAAAAUAAAUAUAAAACAUUCAUUUAGUACAUAUUUAUGCUACUUAUUUAAUUAAUAGAAAAUUUAUAUAAAUAAAAAUAAAUUAUGUAAAUAAAUGAAAUGUUAAAUAAGAAAUACUUUCAUUUUUAUUAGUUAGUGGUAAUAAUAUAAUUCAACUUUCAUUUUAAAUUGAUCAUAGUUUAAAAUUUUAAAUGUGUUACUGAGUUUAAGAAUGUAAGUAAAUUUUAAAUUUAUGGUAGAAUAAAAACAAUAUUUAUGUAAUUGUAUAUAUAAAAUUUUAAAGGGAAAAAAUAAAAUUGAAAGUGAAAUAUUAGUUUAUAACAUGAUCAAUAAGAAAAAGCUUUUAAUCCAAAUUUAAAUAUUGAAAGAUAAUAAUUCAAGAGAAAAUAACUAUAAUAUGUUUUGAAAAUCAAUUAAAAAUAAAUAAAAUAUCACAAUAUGAAUAAAAAAUUAACAAAAAAAUUAUAAACCUCCCGCGCGCAGCGCGGGUCAACUGCUAGUAAUAUAUAUAGUGGAGUACAAUCUCAACUAUCUUAAUCAAAAAAUUUAACCUCUUAACCCAAAAUUGCAUUAAAUUAAUAUCAAAAUACCCAUCCAAAACUGCAUUAGAUGUAUAAAUUGAAUUAAAGAAUAUUGAAUGGAACCAAUCAAACUGUUUGUUUUGCCACAAGAGACACAAUGGAACCAAACAUCAACAACAACUCAUUUUAUCUUCUUUCAAGACCUAAUCUGCACUAUUAAUAACAUAAUCUAGUUGGAAUGACAAGUUACAAGAUUUAUCAUCUUUUUCUCAUGAGGAUUAAGUAACUCAUGUAGGUUGUCUUUUCAUCUAGAUUGUGUUAUCAGUAGUUGUAAAUAAGGUUUAAAGGAAGAUAAGCCACGUUGCGAUGUAAACAGAUGGUUUUAUUGUGUAUUAAACGAGCGACUUGCUUGAGUAAAACAAUCAUACAAUUUUCUUUCAAAUAAUAUAAUGAUAGAGAUGACUUUUUAGUAGUUUCCCUUUCUUAUUUCAUGGAGAUGUUGGAGGAAUCAAUUGAUGAUCGUAAUUGAAGACCAAAACGUAAACAUAUCGUUUUUUUCGCCCGCACAGCUGUGGUCCAGUGGUAAGAGAGAAUUGGGGAAAGGUUGGAAAGAACUAACUCAGGUUUGAUCCACCCUGGAAACAAAAAUCAUGGUUGUGUGGGAAGUCUGUCAAUUGGGCCAAGACCUAGUUGGUUUACCUGGUAGUCAGAAAUGCAGGCGGCCUGACUACCCCUGGCAUUAGUCGGAAAGCAUUCCAAACUCGGGAUAUAUAGUGUGGUGGCCCUUCGGGGAGAAGUGCACUCUGAAGCACUUCGGUGCGUUUCUACCGAGGCUGACCGGAUCAGCCGAUAGGGUUUAUCAAAAAAAAAAAUAUAUAUAUAUCGUUUUUUUCUCUUUUUAUCUUUGUUCAGAAGCUUCUAAAGGGCAUAUAUGACGAAAUAUUUAGAAACUGAGUUAUCUGAUAGUGGAGGACAAUCUUAACUAUAUCAAUCAAUAUAAAAACUCAACCAGAAAAAAAUAACCCUCAAUCCAAAAUUGCAUUAAAUGUAGAAUUUGAAUUGAAGAAGAUUGAAUGCUUGAUUUACUUAAUCAAGCUGAUUAUUUUGCCUUAAGAUACACAAUGUAACCAACAAUCAACAAUAACUAAUUUUAUCUUCUAUCACACCUAAUUUAGCACUGUUGAAAUCAUCAUCUAGUUGGAACGAGAAGUUAAAAGAUUUACCAUCGUUUUUCUCACACAUGAGCAUUAGGUAACUUUUCUAAUUUGUCUUUUAAACUAGAUGGUGAAUUCUAUUGUGGUAAAUAUAUAAGGUCCGAAGGAAGAUAAGCCACGUUGCAAUGUUGAUGGAUUGUUUUACUAUGUAUCAUGUGGGAAAACGAACGACUUGCUUGAGUAAAAAAAAAUUCAUAUAAUUUUCUUUGAAAUUAUCUUUGAAAUCAUCACUUGAUGAUUGUGUGAUGGAUCCACAAAAAAAGAGUAAACAUAUUGUCUUGUCUUUGUCUUCUUAUCUUUGUUCAGACUCUUCAAAAGUACACGUAGAAGUACAAAAAAAAAAAACUAUUGUAAGCGAGGUUUUGAUCAUGGAGAUUAAGGUCUUUUCCCAAUCAAAUCACCGGACUUGGCAUCACAAGUGAUACCAUACCAUCUCACCCAUGAUUUUAUCUUUGGAAAAUAAGUGAGUCAUCUUUUCAAACAAAAUUAGAUUUGUGUGUCCCAAAACUCAUUUUUUUAAUUGAAGAAGCUCAUCGCUUUGGUCUGAAUGGCACAAGUGUUUUGUAGGAGAAAUAAAUGUGUUUGUCGAAAAAAAUGAAACGAGGUAAUGGAGACAAAUAGGAAGAUGAAGAGAGCUCAUUUUCGGACUGAAUCAAGGCAUCAAGUUGUAAUCUAUAUGUAUAUAUAUGAUAAAAGCUCCACUAACUUGAUGAGGGCAAUUAUAAAUAUCAAGUGCCGUGGAGCUUAAGUUAUCUCUUCUAAUAAUGAAUGUACAUUUGGAACUAAAUGUAUCUUCUUGUAUCUAAUUUAAAACAUGAUCUACGGUAAGUUUUUCUCUCAAACUCCUCAACACAUAGUUAAGGCUUCAAUUUUGAUAUAACGCAUGAAAAGAGGUUAAUAGUCAUAACUCACUUGAUCCUUUGGUUUUUUCCAAUUGGUGAAACCAAUGAGCCUAAAACUGGAAAGAUUGAGAUCAAAGGAUGGGAUGUGAGAAUCAUGUUUCGCCAAUUGGCCAAUUCUAUAUAUAUUUCUCACAAUCGCCCAUUAUUUCCAAUUGGCGAAACCAAUCGGGAACAUGUUGAAGCGAUUGUUAGAGAAAUAUAUAUAGAAUUUUAUUUGUAUAUAUGCAAGAAAAAAGUAAAAAAAAAAACAAAAGAUCAACAACAACCUACGACAGAGCACCGUAGAGCUUUAUCUCGGUAUUCAUGAAGUGUAAGAGACCAAACAGACCACCGCAUAACUUAUAUCGUUAAUCAUGAAGUUGCAAGAGACCAAACAGAAGUUGCAAGAGACCAAAUUUGUAAGAGAGUAAACCGCACAACUUUAUCUCAGUAUCAUACUAUAUCACUAGAAUGAGGGGACUUGAGUCUACCCAAGAUUAUACACACACACACAACUAGGGUACAAUGUCCCUUAUGAGCGUGCCAAAACAUUGGCUUCUUCUAUGUUCUACGUUAUGUCCGGUAAGUUUUAUAGCGGACACGGACAUUAACUGGGCUUAAAAUUUUGUGAGAUCCAUUUAUGUCCAACUAAUAUCUAAAAUCUGUCCAUGAUAACAUCCCUAGUGAGCUUAAGAGAUAAGGUAUUAGUAAAUUGGUUUCCACAUUUCAAGUGCUUAUAUGUCUGUUUGGUUCAAUGCCACUGGAAGAUUGUAAUGUAAUAUCGUGGUUCAAUAAAAAGAGAUUAAGAAAUGGUAGAGACAUUUAUAUUUUAUAUAGUAGUAGAUAAGCAAAGCAUACAUAGUCUCUUCGCUCAUUACAACCAAAGUUAAAAUGCAAAGCUUACAUAGUCUUUGCUCAUUGACCGACCAAAAGGCCAUUGAGACAACUAACUUGUCUUUCUUCUUAAUUCAGAUCAGAAUCCUAAAACCAAAACCAUAGAUAGAUAGGAUAACAAAAAGAGGCAUUACAUUAUCCAUUAAACCCGCGAUUCAAACCCGACAAACCUAUACAUCUAAUUGCUUCUUCUUAGAUGACUUCACUAAUUGCAGAGGCCACUUCAUUCACAAUGACACUCUUCUGCAACAACAAAUCAAACUCCUUAGCCUCCACCAACUUCAACUUCUCUUCAAUCCUCUUCUUAGUCUCCACAGAAACCUUCCUCCAUCUCUCCUUCACAGAAGACUCAUCAACACCGAGCCUCGCAAUGCUUCGAACCACGAAAGACUUGUCAAACAUCUCGGUAUCUCCUCCAAGAAUCACCACUUCCUCAUCUUCUCCUACAUUGAAACCAUAAGAUUUCAAAAACUCCAACUUCUUCAAUUUCUCAUUAGCUUUCACAUCAGCUGAUUCAAGAGCCAUAUCAUCAGAUCCCCAAAUAAACUUAGCUAAUCCCAAACAGUUCUUAUCAUGAGACGAAUCUAAACCUUUCUUCUUCAUUUUACCAAAGUACUUCUUCUUCAAAGACCUAAUCUUAUCACCGAAUUCGAUUUUGCUAACAUCAAAGCUAAUGUUUCUCUUAACGAAAUCGAAAAAGAGAUUCAUAUCAUCAUAAGGACUUGUACCUUUCUCAGCUUUGAAAUCAAUCAUACCUUGUAACAGAGACGUCUCGUCUUCUUCACUCCAUAGUUUCUGAGAUUCCUUCUUAGCUUUUUUCACAUGCGUUUCCUUCGUCGCUUCACUCACUCGCUUCUUCCCUGAUUUCGCGGCGGCGAUGGUCUUCUCCUCUCCUGAUUCGGAUUCCGAGUCGGAACCCGUCUCAGAUCCGGAAUCUGAAUCGGAGCUUGGAGCAGCGGCGGAGAUUUGUUCUUCGUCUUCUUCGCCGGAUGAGGUCUUGACUUCGUCGUCGUGGCUUAAAGAAGCGGUUGGGGGAUCUUCCAAGGGGUUGAGAAGCGUCUUCGCCAUUGGGGAUUUUUUGAAAUUCUUGGAGAGAGAGAGAUGAAGUGGAACUGAAACGUUUAGGGUUUUUGUGAGGCGGACAAGUCGAUUAAAAAGGUUAAGAAAAUGAGAAAUAUGAAACGUUUUCUUGACCAAAAAAAAAUAAAAAUGAAACGUUUUCUUUUAUUGGAUCCUACAUGGGCUGGAUUUGUAGCCCAUUAGCCCACUAACAGAAGUAGAAAUUGAGCUCGUUAAGUGGGAACCUUCACAACGUAAUGGAUUUUGCCACUUAUAACGUUUGUCAAAAAAGGUUAACCGUUAGAAGUUGAAAACUUUGAAAGUUUGUGUAUUUUAUACAAAACUGAGUACUUACCAUACACCAAUGAGAUAUUAGGCGUGUUCGUUUUGUCACCGCAAAAUACAUGCAGCUGCAGCGAACGCAGGUGUUUAUGUUCGUUUGGUUGUCGCAGCGACGAACAUUACGGUUAUAAUUUUUGAACGUCGAUUUGACUCAGCGGUUGAAAAAGUUACAUAUGCUCCAGAAACAAACAUGUAUAUUACCUAUUCUCAAAGCAUCCAACAUAAACGUAGAAUCAAAAGAUUAAAUGUUUGGUCAUCACCUCAUAUAAAUUAUCUAUCUUUUAAUUUAUUUAUUAGUCGGUUCAAAUCAAAUUAACAUGUAAUGGCCAUUAUUGGUUCCUUAAAAAUUCUUCUUUUUUUUUUGCCAUCAAGCUCACUGGGAUAACCACAAAUCCUUGGUUCCUUAAUAAUUUUUUUUUUUCAAUUUUGCUUUCUAUUUUGGGGAUAGAAAGAACUAAUACUUUGUUGAUUUUACUUUGUCUAAAUGAAAAAGUAAAUCAAGAGAAAAAGUCAAUAAGGACACAAAUGGCCACCCACAAUUUUCUCAACAUCGAACACCAAUCUAACCACAAAAAUUAAAAAUAUGUUUUAUCCACUAAUCACUCAAUGUUCCAAAAAUCCAAUACUAAGAAACACUAUAAAUAACACUUUUGUAUCAAACCAAUUCAAUCAACCAAAGCUAAAAAAAACUUACUCUCUCACAAACUUCAAACCCUUCUCAUCCCUUUUUGAAUCAAUCAGUCAUGUCUCAACAACAAUUCAACGCUGGCCAGACCAGAGGCCAAGCUCAAGUACGUUCUCCAAUUUCUAUCUUUCUUACAUUUUAGCAAAAUGUACUACAAAAUCUUAAGUAUGUUUUGAUCUUUAUAUAUGGUUUUUGCAUGGAUACUUUAGGAGAAAGCUGAGCAAUGGACCGAGUCUGCGAAGCAAACCGCGCAAUCUGCACGUGAUAAGACUGCUGAUUUGACACAACAAGCUCGCGACAAGGCCGCAGAUUUGUCACAAUCAGCUCGUGACAAGACCGCUGAUGGAUCUAAUUCCGCUAAACAGUCCACCCAACACAACCAGGAACAAGCCGCUGGUUUAUUUGGCCAGGUAUAUAUAUAUAUUUUUUUUUAGGUAUAUUUACUAAUUUGUUGAAUCUAAAGUAUAAAACUUUGGUAACAAAAUUGAUAUUUGAACCUUUGAAUCUAUGUUUGUAGACCGGUGAACAAGUGAAGAACAUGGCUCAAGGUGCUCUUGAUGGUGUGAAGAACAGUCUUGGCAUGAACGAGAAGAAAUGAGAAUAUGAUGAAAUUACUCGUGCUUCUCAACUAUUUUAUUUAAAUAUUUAUGAAUAAUUUCUUGUUUUUUUGGGUUUCUCCAAAUUGUUUGUAAUAAGAUUAUUAUUUUUGAGAGAUUUUGUGAUCUGAAAUCUGAGAUGUAAUAAGAUGUUGUAACAUCAUAGCCUUUGAUUUUCUAUUUUUAUAAAAAGAUGAACCAAAUUAAAAUUAUCACUCUUAUUCUAUUAUUAAAAAACUAACCUUCUAGUCCUACAAGUGAUCACUACAAAAGAUUUAUUAGAUAACGUCACUUAAGUAAUGUCACUUAGUUUCAGUAUGAAUCUAAGGUACUUCUCUACUGAAUUUUAAGGUCCUUUAGUAAUGAUGUUUUGUUUUGUGUGAAUUGGUAACACGAGAACUCAUACAAAUUUGAGGCUAGAGUUGUUCUUUCAAUAUGAAUUUUCUUCAUUUUGGAGAAUUGGAUGAUCUAUAAAAUAAAAAACUUGAGAGCUGAGAUGUUCAUUAUGUUAAGCAUCGUACGUAGUUGGAAAAUAUAAUGGUCACUUGCAAAAUUCUAGAGAAUGCUUCGAAUUCAAUAAAUCUAUAUAAUAAUAAUGAAAACUUAUUAUAUGAAGUGGUGAUGAUAACAUGUAGAUGUAGUACAUAAAGUUUGUGUUUCAAUGCAGUACACAAGACAAGAGCAUCGAUCUCUUAUAGUACAUACAUAAAACUUGGAUUAUUUUAUUAAAAUCAUCCUAACAAUGUUUUUUUUUUAUAUAUAUAACUUUUGCAUUACAAUCACAUGAACACUGAAAUUGACUUUUAUAUUCAAGUACAUAAGUUUAAAAUACUAAAAAAAAAAAAAAAAAAAAUCUGGAACCUCAAAAGAUACGAUAUAGUACGAUCCAUUACAUCGUACAUGGAAGCAUUGUACUACUUUCAAUCCAAAGACACGACAAUGUCUUUAUAAAACGAUGUUUUGUGUUUUAUCUUCAUGGUAAUAGAAAAGAGCAAGAUGAGGUUUGAAUGAACAUCAUUGAGUGCAGCGUUGAUAUAAUUUACUUCUUUUGUUCCAAUACUUGAAUGGAUUAAAGAAAUUUAUAUAUCAUUGUUGCGUUCAAUUAUGUUUUUUCUAAUUUUCAGGAGCACUUAAAAAAAGAGAAAAAAAACCACAUAAAAGAGUUUAUAAAAAGUUUUGCUUCGACUUGAAAACUUAGAUUUCUACUUUUUCGACUCUUACAACAAACUUUUAACAUACAAAAUAAUCAAGGAAAACACUCAAAAAGUGUGAAUGUGCGAGGUUAGUCUCAUUAACGGAAUUAUGAACAAUGUUUAAAAAUAGUGACGUUGUUUUACAAUUUAUUAUAUAUAUAUAUUAUAUUCCAUGAAUGGAUGCUUUUUUAAUUAUUAUUUCAGUUUGUGGAUUUUGUUUUUAAUAUUUAAUUAUAGAUUUUAGUUUUAGAUCAUAAAUAUUUGCAAAUUUCUAAGUUCGUUUUGAAUCAAAGCUUUUGAUUUUUGGUUAACUAUUUUCUUUGUAAAAUAACGUCACUAUUUUAAACGGAAAUUUAAUAUUUCUGUUAACAAAUCUAACGUCUAACAUUUGCAUUUUUAUUUGAGUAUGUUAUUUUCUAAAUUGUUUUGUAUGUUGAAGGUGUAUUGUAGAAAUCGAAAACAUCAUAAGUAUAACUAAACUACUCACAAGAUUUUUUUUAUGAGACUUUUUGCUUCUAAAAGUUUGUAUUCAAAAAAAUAGAAAAUAGAAAUAGUGUGUUCUCAUUUGUUCGAGCUCAUAGCCGAAGCCUUAAUUGGGGAAUGCAAGAUAGUACUUAAGAUCCAUAGUUUAACUCAUAUAAUAGAAACCGUCGUGAGAGCACUCCAACCAUAAAAUCAAAAUUUUGUGUUGAAAUCAUAUCAAAUUCAAUGUUCUGGUCUCUCUUUUUUUUUUCAUCUCCAACCACAACAUCAAAUAUACUCUAAAAAUGCAUAUUUUUAUUGUAUUAUUAAAUUUAUUUUUAUUUUUAGUAGUGAUAAAUACUCAUUACUUUUAUAAUUUAUAUAUUUUAGUUUAAAUAAUAUAAUUUCAUAUUAAAUUAAUAGUAAAUAAAUUUAUUUUAGAAAUUUCGAGCAAAUUAUUCUUUCAUAUUAGUUAUAAUAUAAAGUUCAAGUUAAUUAAAAUGGAAACAUAUAAAAAAAUUUGAUGGUAAUUUUUUAUAUUAAGUUGGUUAAUUAUGUUACUUACUCGUUGUGGGAAUGCAUUUACACUAAACUUAGAAUUUGAUAUUCUAAGAUUUGGUAUAUGUAUGGAUAAUUUGGAUAGUAUAUGCAUUAUGUUUUUGUUUUGUAGUAGUAGAUGUUACAAUUUGUGAAUUUUAUUUAUCUUUAGUUAGCGUAUUGGAGUUUGGAGAUGAUGAUCAAUUAUUUUGAAUGUAAGAGAUAAUAAUAAUGCUUUUCUUUAAAAAGAAGUGUCUUAUUUGAAAAAUAUCCACACAAAAAAAAAAAAGUUGUCUAUUACCACAAAGGUUUUGCCUUAAAAAAACUUCCAAAUCGCAGUUUUUUUUUCAAUUAAAAAAGUAAACCAUUCAACUCUAAAAAAAUGCAAAACAAUUUCGGGAAAAUCAAAAUUAAUAUAAAAUUAUAACCAGUUGUCAUUACCAUUAAAUUCUUAAAAUAUUGUUAAAUAAUAUGUUAAAUAUUUGCAAGUCUGAAUUUAUGUUUUGAAUAUUUUAAAUCUAAUUUAUACGAAUGUAGAAAUGUGUAGAAAUACAUAUAAGAAUUUAUAUUACGUAAUAUUUUGACUUUAUAUGAUUAAUUUUUAUUAUUUAAAGAUAAAUGUCGAUUUUUAAUUCUUUUUUAUUAUUUAUAGAAUUACUAAUUCCCUUUUGCAAUUUUCUUGAUUAUUAAUUAAAAUUUUCACUAAUCAAGUUGAAAAAGAAACCGUUAAUGAUAUCAACAUUGUACACAACAAGACAAAAUCCACUCCAAAGAAAUCUCCAGAAGAAGAAGCCUCUCUUCAUCUUCUCCAAAUUUCUCAAAUCCUUCUCCGUAGCGAUGACGUCUCUGCAAUUACACUGCUCCCUUCACUUCCUCCGUCCUAAACACCGUCUUCGCUACUCUCCUCCUAUCUUCUGCACUUCCCGUUCCCGCACCUGCCACUUUCCCGGAAAAAUCAGUUUCCGAGAAAGUUUCAGAGUCAGGGAAAAAUCCAAAUCGUUCCGUUGCUUCGCUCAAUCGGAGACGAAGGAAGUGAGAUUAUCUGAGAAAGAUGAACGUCCUACGUUCGAUAUCAAUCUCGCUGUUAUCCUCGCUGGUUUUGCUUUCGAAGCUUACGCUUCACCUCCGGUACAGUACAACUUCAAUUUCGUAGAAAUUUUGCUUCUCCUUUGAGAAUCUUCGACGGAAAUGAAACCUGAUUAUGAUUUUGUUGUUUGAUUCUCAGGAAAAUGUUGGGAAACGUGAGGUUAAUGCAGCUGGGUGUAAUACUCUUUACCUUUCUGAGUAUGUGAAGCUCUUUUUGGAGUGUCAUGGUGGUUUUUGAGAUUUUUGUUGCUUAGAUAAUGAAGAGAUUGAAAUUAUAUACUUGUUUCAGGUCAUUUGUAAGGGAGGUAUAUGAUGGGCAACUGUUUAUCAAACUCAAAAGGGGAUUUGAGUUUCCUGCUUUGGAUCCAUGGGUAUGUGUGUGUGUUUUUUAUAAAUCUUGAAGCAAUGACUUUACGUACCAUUUGUAUUGUUCUUUUUACCUUUACCAAAUUUGUUCUUAUUGGUUUUGCUUUCAGGGAACGAGUGAUCCUUAUGUGGUUAUGGAUUUGGAUGGUCAGGUUGCUAAAAGCAAAACCAAAUGGGGGCAAGUGUUUUAUGCUUUACUGAACUUUCAUUUGGUGGAUCACAUUUCUUAGCUUGAGUUAUGAACUUACUUAACUCAUCAUUUCAUGGUUUCCUACAAUACUUAAUUUUGAAGAUGAAUAGACACUUGUACCUGUGUCAUAGCCCUCAACUUUGUUUAGUUUAUUUUUCCAAAAGUUGUGUUAUUGACUGUUAAAUAUCUGAUCAUCAGUUACUGGUAUAAAUGAACUUGGUUCUUAAUGUAUUAUUUUAUUGGCAGGACAAAAGAGCCAAAAUGGAACGAAGACUUUGUUUUUAAUAUCAAGUUGCCUCCUGCAAAAAAGAUACAGGUAGAAUAGUGUUUAAGUAUUGUGUCCUGGUCAACUCUGAAAGUAACUGUACAAAUAACUUAUAUUAUAAUAGACCAUUGCUUGACUUCCCAAAUAUUGUUUAAUGAGCUUCAGAUUGCAGCUUGGGAUGCAAACCUUGUCACACCACAUAAACGAAUGGGGAAUUCUGAAAUCAACCUGGAAGAUAUUUGUGAUGGUGAGAAUUUUUUCACCUAUUUACUGUCAAUAUACUUUAUUUAUAUGUUUGAGUUCAACAUAGGCAAAAACGUUUGUGUUGUAGUUGGGUAUAGUUUUCUAUAUCUGCCACAGUGUAGAACUUUAGACUUGAUUAGACUAAAAACUUAUACACUAACAAAGAAUAAGGUUUUUCUCAAAAUGCUUACUAGGCUAUGACUCUGACUAGUGCACUCAACUGUGGACUAGGCUAUGACUCUGACUAGUGCAGUUACCGCAAGUAGUGAUACAUCUGAUGAGUCUACUGAACGUCUAACUUAAGGUUUUUGUCUCUAAUUUGUAUGUUUUAUUUUAUCCUCUUAUGCUUACCAAGGGAAGUUGCACGAGGUCCUAGUAGAACUAGAUGGAAUUGGAGGUGGUGGGAAAUUUCAACUGGAGGUCAGUUUAUGCUGCCAAAGCUUUUUCCCUCCGAGAAUGUUGCUUAGCUGCGUAGCUGAUAUCAUUUAUUACUAUUUUGUUGACGGAGAGAAUCAACUUAACUUUAAAGAAAACAGUAUGCUCGUUUUUCAAGAUAUCAUGCAGCCUGAUGCCUCAUAGAUUCACAUGUUUGUGUAUGCUAAACCCGAAAAUUUAGUCUCUCUGCUAGUUUGGUCUUUUUCUUAAUCAAAUUUAAACUGUCAGAUUAAGUACAAGGGAUUUGAGGAAGUUGAAGAAGAAAAGAAGUGGUGGAGGUUCCCGUUUGUUUCAGAAAUCCUUCAAAGAAAUGAAAUUAAGUCAGUUCUGAAAAAUUUCGUUGACUCUGAAGCAGUUGAAUCAGUUUUGAAAAAUCUUGUUGACUCUGAAGCUGUGCCAGCACGUCAAUUUGUAGAGUAUGCCUUUGGACAGUUAAAGUCACUCAACGAUGCCCCCCUUAAGAAUAAUAAUCUUCUAGACGAUACUAAGGAGGACUCUAAAGGUGAAGAAAACUCUAAUGAUCAUUCUCCAGCUGUAGAUAUACUUUCUGACGGGGCUAGUUCAGAGGAUUCCUCUGAUCAACAUCUCAGCACUGAUCUGAGUAGUUCAGGAAAGCAUAGCAAAGGGAAAGAUGGUAAUGGUGAUGUCCAAAGCAAUGAACUGGAGGGUGACAAUGAGAGUGGCAGCUUUCAGUCAGAAGGUAAUUUCUGGGAUAACAUCCCUGAAAUAGUCGGUCAAAAUAUCGUCCAGAACCUUGGCCUUCCUUCACCUAAGAAGUUGAAGUUGAACGGAAUGGACAUACUGGAAAAAUUUGGUCUACAAUCAAGGAAAACUGCAGAAGCAGGUUACAUUGAAUCAGGGCUUGCCACUGCUAAUACUCGAGAUGGCGGUGAUGAAAAGGAAGAUGGUCAGCUUGCUAUUAACACGCCGAAGUCUUCCCUUGCAGACAUGAAGAAUGCAACACAAGAAUUGCUCAAGCAGGCUGAUAAUGUCUUUGGUGCAUUAAUGGUUUUAAAAGCAGUAGUGCCUCAAUUAAGCAAGGACAAUCCUGGUACAGAGAAGGUCUUAGAAAAAGAUGGUGCUUCUAGUGUAACAGAGGAUGUCUCUAGUUCGUCUAAGACUGAUAAACUCUCUGGUCUAGUGAAUGUUGAUGGAGCAGAUGAAAAGAACGCUGAGGAAAUGAAAACACUUUUUUCUAGCGCAGAAAGUGCUAUGGAAGCAUGGGCAAUGCUUGCAACUGCCCUGGGGCAUCCAAGCUUUAUCAAAUCUGAGUUUGAAAAGUUAUGUUUUCUAGAAAAUGACAUCACUGACACGCAGGUGAAACUCUUAUGUCUUUGACUUACUGAUUCUACUUGUUUGGGAACAAGUGAUUUCAGGGAUAGAGUAUCCUGUCCUGAAAAUACAAGUUCAUGUUAAUAGACAUACUAAUUUACAAAGCUGCAGGUGGCAAUUUGGCGUGAUGCAAGGAGGAAAAGAGUCGUUAUCGCUUUUAGAGGAACUGAACAGGUAUGUAUCCAUAUCUUUUUAAUAUUCGGUGGUUAGUUUUUCUCUUUCAGUUCUUAUAGUCAAUAUUUCAUGUUGUCAGACAAAGUGGAAAGAUUUGCAGACUGAUCUAAUGCUAGUUCCUGCUGGGUUAGUAUUGUCUAUUUAUUCAGCUUCUCUACAUUGAUUCAGAAACUACUUAAGUCUACACUUUUGGAGUUUUACUUAGUUAUUAUUCAUCUCUCUGGACAUUUUUUAUAUAUGUUGCAGUCUGAAUCCUGAAAGAAUUGGUGGGGACUUCAAGCAAGAAGUACAAGUAUGUUUUAAACUCUGGCAUUGGACAGGUGUAUCCUUUAUUGAGUUAUUCGUAAUAAUGCUAUGGAUUUUGUAGGUCCAUAGUGGAUUUUUGAGUGCAUACGAUUCAGUACAGAUAAGGAUAAUAUCACUUCUCAAAAUGGCAAUUGGCUACAUGUAGGUGCAUCUUAUGUUUCACUUUGCUUUCUUCUUUUUGGAGAGUUUUUACUUACCUGUUAUUUCAAUGGUUGCAUCCUCUUUUGCUGGAAAGAUAAAUGUUUGACAUUAUAGAGAAAGUUCAAUCAAAUUGCUCAGGACAGUAAAUAUAUAGUGAGUGACUUUUACGUUUACAAGGUCUGUAAAAGUUGGACAUAAUUUCUGAUGCAUAUGCUCUCUCCCUUUUGGCAGAGAGGAUGUUCCUGAGCAUGAAGAUAAAUGGCAUGUUUAUGUGACUGGACAUAGCUUGGGUGGUGCAUUAGCUACACUCUUGGCUCUUGAACUUGCGUCAAGCCAAUUAGUUAAGUAAGUGGUUCGAAAUUCCUGUACUCCCUACAUAUCACCAUGACGACAUCAGGUUGACGAUCAUCUACAACUUUAUUUGUGUAUGCUUGUUAGACGUGGAGCAAUCAGUGUUACCAUGUACAAUUUUGGAUCUCCAAGAGUAGGCAACAAAAAGUUUGCUGAAAUUUAUAACCAGGUUAUGCUUCUUCUAACUUAACAAGGGGAGUGAGAUGGCAUGUCGUCAUUAAAUCUCAUUUAUUUGUAUGUUUUCCAUUGUCCACUUCACAGAAAGUAAAAGACAGCUGGAGAGUUGUAAACCAUAGAGACAUAAUUCCCACAGUACCUCGUUUAAUGGGAUAUUGUCAUGUAGCUCAUCCUAUUUAUCUCACUGCUGGAGAAGUGGUAUGCGUCCCCUCUGAUCGAACAUUUUUAAGCUAUACAGAGCAUUAGUUUAAUUUGUCGUGGAGGGGCUGUUAUACGUUAUUGAAAUAAUCUAUGCUCCUCUUUGUGUUGCCUUGCCUUUCGUAACUGGAAACAUUUUUCUUCUUUAUGACGUAGAUUUAGCAACUUUCAUUUGUUUGAUUCUGUCUGGGCUAAGUAUCUUGUGUGACCUGCAAAAAUGAUAUAUUAUGCAUAGUGUUUCUAUGAAUGUGACAACCUUUUAUGUGUUAUCUGCAUUACGCUCUUUCAGUUAUGUGAUAUGCUUUAUCCGUAGAAGUUGAUUAGACUGAGCGAUAUAAUAUUACAGGAAGAUACUGAGUUCCAGAAAGAUGGUUAUCAUGCUGAGGUUAUUGGGGAAGCGACACCUGAUAUUCUUGUUAGUAGAUUUGUAAGUCUUUUAUCACCUAACUUUCUCUGGUUGCUAAACUUAUUUCUUUUGAUCAUCAGUUAAGUUUUGGAUUUCCUACUUGUAUUUCACAUAUAUUAUGCAUAUGUUUGUAAAUAGAAUUAUUUUCCGUAGUGAAUAAUUUCAUUUAUACCCAGGAAAACAAAAGAUAACUCUUAAAUUGCUGCUACCUAGGAGCUUAUAAUUAUAAGUUCAUAUUUACUAGUAGCUCUUUUAUUUGAUGGCUUCAUAUACAUGUGUGGCACAGACAUUUAAACAUAGUGGAACGCAAAACUUAUUUACCUGUUGUAUGGUCUGUUUCAUUCUAUAAAUCUCUUAUGGCAUUCAGAAGUUUCUACCUAUGGGAAAUAUUCAAAAGAUGUAGAGUGGCUUGCUAGAAUUCUAGUGAGAAAUAUUACUUAUGAGUAACACAUCCUGACGUGAGUUUUAAUGGAUGCUAUGUUUCAGAUGAAAGGUGAGAAGGAACUUGUUGAGAAGAUACUUCAAACUGAAAUCAAAAUAUUCAACGCACUUCGUGAUGGGAGUGCCCUCAUGCAGCACAUGGAAGAUUUCUAUUACAUCACACUGUUAGAGGUAUGUUAUUAGUGCCCACUUAAGCAAUUGCUGAUAAUUAAUAAGUGAAUUCUCAGAAAAUAACGCAUAUCUCCAUACCGACUUAAAAUUAUGGAAUAAUAUCACUCACAGGAUAGUAACAUUGAGACAGCGCCAAACCCUUUCUUGGGUGGAGCAUGUGUUGGUUUAAGACUGUUAAUCAUUUCCAUAUAGCUUAUUGGAAUCAAUUUUUGUUGGCAAUCAUUUCAGAGUGUGAAAUUAUAUUACAAGAAUGUUGAAGAUCCAGAAGCUCUUGAAAAUGCUACUAUUCAAUCAGUGAGAGAUGGCUAAGACCACGAGAGCAUGUAAUGACUCGCUCCAACUAUAUAGGAUUUCAUACUAUAUAUCAUUUACACAAGACAAGAAUCAACUGGGUCGCAUUAUUUUCUCAAAAGAAUAUUGUGUAACCAUAAUGUAAUUAUAUUUUAGUGACCUGUGGUUCAGUCCUGUAAAGGUAAACAUAGACACGAAAGGGGACAAGAAAGCUUGGAAGUUGUCAAAAUAUUUGAAGUGUAUAGAUGUCAAUGAUCUUUUUUGUUAUUUACUCUUCUCUCAGGGUCCAGAACUGCUCCUUGAACUAAGUUAUAAUAGCAUCUGGAAUUUGAUGAUGAUACUUUCAGUGAAUGCUCAGGGAAACGAUGCAGGGAAUGUUAUUUCUGGCUUACAGGGAUCGUAAACACCUAAGCUCUUGGUUGUCUAGUUCCAGCUUGAUCUGCAUCUGAGAGCUUUUCUAAAGAGCAGUUGCGGGAGAAGUAAGAUAUCUCAAUCCUUAAGCUUUCUCGAUUAUUUUGGAACUCUUACAAGUUAUAUUCAAUUCUUAGUUGCACGUACUAAGUUUCUAGAUAAUAAACUAGAGCUGAGACUUGAGGAAACCGAGUCAAGAAGGAAACUACAAGCUUUGUGUCCAUCUAAUCUCUGAUCAUUAUUGACUCUUUUUUUGUCUAUUCGAUUUUCUUGAUGCUGUUUAUAUUACUUGUGAAGUAUAUACAACUUCCUUUAGUGUCAUGAGACACAAAAUAGAAAUGACUUACUAUUGCUUGAAGCUUAUUGAGUCUACUUAGAUAGCAAUCCCUGUGGGAAAAGUUAUUUACACCCAAUGAAUUUUGUUUUGAAUAUUGGCAGGCUUCUGGUCGUAGAUGAUGUUGUCCUGUUCUUCCCACUGCUACCACCGAGGAUACGCAGACUCUGUCUCAGUAAGUCAACCUCUCUUUCCUUCCCAAUUCGUUGUUUCUCCAUCAAAGCUAUUCUCCCCUUGAGUGUCUCAAUGGUUUCUCCCCUAACUUUAACUUCCUUCCUAAGUUCUUGAACUGUCUUUGCAACUUCUUCUUGUGGUUUCUGUCUCAGUGCCUCUCCUACAGAAAAAAAGAAACUCGUUACUUUUCUCAAAAACCAAAACCAAAAUCAAAAAGAUGAGAUUAGUUGUGAAAAGUUUUACCGUAUGUUGUGUGGAUGAGAUCAUCAAGCUCAUUCUUGAUAGCGAAAUAGAGCUGUUUCCACCUCUCCACAGCUUCUUCCCUCACAGCUCUCUCUAGACACAUCUGUUCCACGACCCAUUCCCACUCGUGUUGUUUCGCUUUUACUUCUUCUUUCUCUUCCAUCUUCAGCCUCAGCCUCUUCACUUCCUCUCUAAGUCUCUUCUUCUCUUUCCUCCACUCUUUCUCUGCCAUCUUCAAAGCCAAAACCACUCUAUCUUUCUCAUCAACCUCUCUUCUUGUUGGUCUCCUUCUCUGUUCACUUCCUCUCACCUUGAUACGUCUCCUAGAACUAUCUCUCCCUUGCUUGCUUGUUGCACCACCCAUGUCUCUCCUCUCUCUAUCUCUUAUGGAAUUUUUGCUUGUUAUAAUGUCUGUCUCUUCUACAGAGAGGACUUAUUCUCAUUCAAUGAAGAGAAAUGAUUAUUGUUGGUGAAGAAAGCUCCACAUUGCGGCAUUGCAGACAGGUUAUUUAUAUAAUAGUGUCCAAAAGCGUCUUCUUCACUUAUUCCCUAACACGCUUUAGUAAAAAUUAUAGGAAUGUCUUACUACAACAAAACUCCAUGGUAAUUAUAUUCUUUAAUCAUGUGGAAACUGAGAUAAAAAAAAUACAAGAGAAGUUAUGGGCACUCAUCAGGACACAGUACUGAAUAGGUAACAAGAAAGAAAGAAAAAAAGAAUUGAAGUUACUAACUUCAAGUUAGUGUUACAGAAUAUGAAAAGCAUUGUUUCUUCUUCAAUCUCCAAUUUAAUGUUGUGGGCUUUGAUGGUUUGUCACAUGCCAUCAUAAACAUGGACCCAUACCUAUUUACUCUUUGUUCUUUUCAAUAUUUAUUAACCCCUACUUUAGUUUUUAUAGGUUUCUCUUAAUAUUAGUUACUCUAUUUUUGGUUUAAUUUCACUUAAAGUUUAUAAGUUUUUGGCAUAUUUCAUGAGUAAGGUUUAGCUUUGGAUCCUUACAGUUACAAUAUACACAUUUUUGAUUAAAUGGUCAACGAGUAAUAGAGUGAGAAGAAGACAAAGAAACAAGAAGAGACAUAUGUCUAAUCGCUAUUGACAUUGUAGAGUUUGGAUAGCUAUAUAAAGUGAUGGACUAGACUCUUUACAUCAAUGAGUUUCAUUGCUCUCUUCACGUGAACCACCCGGUUAAUUUGGGGUUUUGCCUCAAUCCUUUUCAUAUCUUAAAGAGUCAAUGAAUCAUCAAAAUCUUGUUAUUGCUUUUGUCUUUGUAUUAGCCUACUAGCCUAGGAACUGAUCAAGUUUGGAUUCUGACCGCAACAUUCCAAACAUGCACUAUGGUUUUAGCUUUUUGUCUUUGUACAAUCUCUUUACGACACUGCCUACUAAGACCAGCCUAGAAGGCUAAUCAAGGUCGGAUUCUGACCACAACCUUCCAAAGCUGCACUAUGGUUCUGAUCUAAUUUGUAUUCCAACAAGCAAGCAACAAUAUAUAUACAAACACAUUGAUACAUAGUGUAAACUUACUUACACGCAUAAUUUGUAUGUUUUGAGUAACAUUUUUUGAGACUGUCGUACUUUUUUAAAUACAAUCAUAUGAUACAUGCGGCCAAACCAUUCAUCAAUCAUUUAUCUCACAUAUAUUCAUUAUUAUGCCCUCAAUUUCACUUAUCUUUCACCUUAAACUCAUCAUGGACCACUGGUUCAUCAUACCCACUGAAGAUGGGAGUGCUGGCCGGAUUAUGGGCACACGUUUCGCUACUGAGAUUGCUUCGUUCCACCGAGCAGCAUGAUUCGCCACCUUCUGAAGAAGUAAUAUCAUUCAAAAGACAGACAAAACAAGAAUCAGAUGGUGUAAAUGUCUUUCCGAAUUGGUGUUCUGAAAUACUCACAAACUUUUGAAAGAUGAGUAAAAGUCAAGCAAGAACAUGAAUUUCAGUAGCAAAUGACAUAUAUGAACCGACAAGCAGGACUCAGACCAGUUAAACUACAAUUUCAGGUUUCACCACUACUUUAUCCUUAUCAGAGAAGCAAACAAGAAAAUGUAACAAAGAUGAAUCAUAAAGCAGAUAACCGAUGAAAGGCAGAGUCAGAACCAGUCUAAAGACCUUUCAACUAUCAUUUGCCCAUAACAAAAGAAAACACAAAACUAAAAUGUAAAAUGAAUAUGAUGUUCAAUCACUAAAGCAGAUAAAACCACAGAGAAGAAGCACAAAGAGAUAGAUCAUUCAGGUGGAUUUCUAACGCCUAUGUCUCACUAACUGCAGUUUUGCUUCUCCAUACCAAAAACAUACAUGAAGAUCUCAACCGGUACUAUAUCAAAGAACUUAUAUUAAUGAACAGCUUACAAUAAAACACUUUCUGCAUCAAGAUUGAGUAAAUGGAGCGUGACUAUUAGUGACUACUAUGACCACGGGUCGCUAGCUGCAUCUAAACAACUUAGCAAAGAGAAAACUAGCAAAAACCAACAACAACAAAAAAAUAGUCCCAGGACAAAUAGUUUAACUCAACCAACAAACACACAAUAGAGGAGAUUCCGAUCUCCUAAUUUUCUCCAUCAAACCAACAAUGACACUAAUAAAUCAUCUAACUAAACAGUAAAAGUUGAACUAUGCACAAUCUCAUCUCACUCCAAAAGAGUUAACGAUGACCACAGGGAUCAAGUAAAAGAACACAGAACAAUCAAAUAGACUGAACUAGUUACCUUAUCAUCCAAUAGAACCUUAAGCUGCAGAGUACGACUCUUCUUCUUCAUAUUGUACAAUCUACGCCCUAACAUAACAAAACCCACAAAUGCUGCGGCCAUGGAGAAAGACCAAAUAGGAUUAACUUUAAAAACACAAUACUUCAACACUUCUAUUGGAAUCUUCCACCACACAAAACCCUUCUCCUCUCCCCCACCACCACCACCAGAUUUAACAGAUGGAUCAACAGAAACAGAGUUCCCUUCUCCUUCCACCAGAUCAUUCCCACUAACUAUUUCACCUGAAAGUAAAGUUUCAUCCUUUACCUCACCAGAGCUCAUCAAAUCCAUGUCCUGAGCUAUACUUUCACUAUACUCCUCUGUAUCAAACCUUCCUUUUACAUAUUCAACAAUACCCACUUCGCUUCUCUCAUCAUCAACUGACCUUUGAUCCUCAAGCCGAUCACUACUCGAAUCAGACCAUAACUCACUAAAAUGCUUCGGACCAUACGGAGCAUCAGAGGAUGGUUCGAUCCAACCAGGACUACCCGAUUGAACAGACCCUUCUUCAUCUUCUUCCCCUUCCACACGAGACACAACACUCUUGUUCUCAAGAGAGAAGUAAUCAAACCUAAUCAUACCUUGAGUGGCAACUUCAAUGUCCUCCAAGCUCUUCGAAUUAUCAUCCUCCGUGGUAGAUCUCAAACUCUGCAGUACCUCCCAGUCUUGAAUCUCUUCUUCCAUGUCAAAGUUAGGGUUUUUUUCCAAAUCCAAUUGAGGAACCCCAAAAAGGAGAAAGCUUUGGAUGGGAGCAAUCAAAACAGAACCGAUACGCUUCUCUUCUCUGUAUGAUCGCUUACAGAAACAUUUCGGUCGUGGUGAUGACGUGGCGUGGUUUAAUUGGAUAGAGGAUGAAGUCAAAAGAGUGGUUUCGUUGACGUGUGGGUUUAUGAUAACUAUUUGGAUUGAGAGUAUUUGUUGGUACGGUGGAGUGCGAUGUAGUGGAUCUCUAACCGCUUUAUUUUGCUUAUGAGAUAUGCUCAACUUGAAAAUGGAGGGAGAGGAAGCAUACACGUCAAACUUUAUGCUUAUGCAUAUUGUGAAGAUACAUCAUUUGAUUUCUCCAUAUCAAACUGAAUCCAAGUGGUUAAUCUGUUUUUACUUUUUACUUUUACCAUUUCACUUUUUUUCUUUUUCUCUUCUAAACUAGUUGAUGAAUUAUUAAAUAAUUUUUAGAUAGUUAUAAGUAAACUAUAUAUUGAAUUAAAGAUGUUAACUUGUUAAUUUAAGGAGAAUUCUCUUCUCUUAAACUGUUAAACAUGUGUCGAGUCACUGGCAGUUCGAGGCUUUUGCCUCAAGAUAUAAUGGUGAUUAAAGUUAUUAACAGAGACUUCAUAUUUGCCACUUACAUCUUUAUGACUAGCCACCAAAACUCAGUAUCAAUCACACUAUAUAAUAACAAUACGAUUCCCCGACAGAGCUAAAGACAAUAAUCCCACUUGGCCAGAGGAAUGAUAUGCAUGAUUCAGUGACAGCAGGAUGGUAGAAUUACAAAAAUCAAGAUGGAAUAGGAAUACUUGGAUUCGAUACGAAUAUAUGUUUCAGUAUCAGAUCAUCUAGUUCACCUAGUUGCAACGGGUUGUGUUGUCGUUACAGCUUACUUGGGGGGAUUUCAUCUAUGAAUCAUCUAGGAGUUACUCAGGACGAGUCCUAGCUUAAUGGGUUCUCGACUAAGAAGGUUCUCUAGACCAGGCUAAUUAGUAAUAGCCACAUGAUCAAACACAGGGCCACACAUGUUUCAGAAACUGAAAAUGGUGAAAAUUACAAUACAUCACCAUGUUGAAUCACCUAGUCUCUAUCUUAAACCAAUAUCAACAACAUUCACCUCUCACAUACACAAUGAAAAAUUCACCAAAACGACUCUGAACACAGUUAGUUAAACACCAAAAAAGUAUGAAAUUUAGAUUCCAAUCUUCAACUCAAGAACGAGCCAAACCAAGACCUCAGCACAUGUUUCAGAAACUGAAGAUGGUAAAAAUUACAAUCCAUCACCAUGUUGAAUCAAACUGGUUUCUAUCCUAAGCCAAUACCAACAACAUUCACAUCUCACAUACACAAUGAAAAAUUCACCAAAACGACUCUAAACACAGUUACUAAAACACCAACAAAUUACAAGAAUCUUAGGUUUCAGUCUUCAACUCAAGAACAAGCCAAACCAAUACCUCAACACAUGUUUCAGAAACUGAAGAUGGUAAAAUUACAAUCCAUCACCAUGUUGAAUCAAACUAGUUUCUAUCUUAAACCAAUAUCAACAACAUUCACAUCUCACAUACACAAUGAAAAAUUCACCAAAACCACUCUAAACACAGUUACUAAAACACCAAAAUAUCAAUAAGAAACUUAGAUUUCACUCUUCAACUCAAGAACAAGCCAAACCAAAACAUCAACACAUGUUUCAGAAACUGAAGAUGGUGAAAAAUACAAUCAAUCACCAUAUUGAAUCGAAGUAGUUCCUAAUUUCCUAUCUUAAGCCAAUACCAACAACAUUCACAUCUCACAUACACACUGAAAAAAAUCACCAAAACGACUCUAAACACGGUUACUAAAAACACCAAUCUUCAAAUCAAGAAUAAAGCAAACCCAAAACAAAAAGAUUCUAAAUUGUGCAGAAGAAUUAACAAUCAGAGAAAUCACAAUAAAACCCAAAUCAUACUAAAAUCAUGAGCUUAAGUAUCCAAAUGAAAUCGAAACGAAACUGUUACAUUAUCACACCUUACUACAUCGAUUCCUCCACAGAUUCAAGAUUAGGGAUAAAGAACUGAAAUCUUAGAGAAGAGAUUAAACCAGAUUCAAUUGAUAUCAGUGUCAUCGAAAUCAUCCUCGAAUUUGUUGAAGAAAUCGGCGUCGACGAGCUUGUUCUCUGAGAUAAGUCCUCCUUCGUUGAGAAUCUCCAUAGCUUCGAGGUCAUCAACGUCCAUGGCCAUCGAGGAGCCUGCAUCAUCCAUCUCCGCCAACAUAUCCAUCUGCAUCGGCCUCAUUUCUCUUCUUCUUCUUCGUCUUCUUCGUCUUCUUCUUCGGGAAAGAUCUAAAAGCUUUACAGUGUGACUGUUGAAGAUAUUAAUUGUGAAGGUUUUAUUAUUUAGGCCCAAUUUAUUUGGCCCAUUUACUUAAAGGCCCGUUUAGUUGUUUCCUAGAGAUUUUGUUGCUUUGUUUUUUUUAUGACACUAAUUGAAGAUAGUAAUUUUUAUUUAGUAGCUGACUUGUUGAGUUAAAAUAGUUGAAUUUGUGUGUGUGUGUGUGUUUUUUUUUUCCAAAACUUACUAUCAAGAUAAUAAAUUUUACUAACUAAACUCUCACUAAGUUAAGUCAAACUGUUAAAGUUAAAAUUAGGAUUUUGAAUGCAUUUUUUCCGUAUAAACGGCUAAAUCAUAUCUCUUAUUCGGUAUCCGAAAUUUUUCUUCACAAAUUGGAAUAAAUUAAACCAAAAAUACUAAUUGAUGAAUGUGAUUAUCUCUCUCUCUUUCUCGUUAAUCACUAGAUUAAUCUAUGUGUUUGAGAUUACAAACAUGGGAAUGAGUUAAUUUACAGAUUGUAGUCAUAUUUAAUAUGUGCUAGUUUUACUCUUUUUUAUUGUUAAUGAGCUAGUUUUACAUUAGUUUCACACUUGUAUGCAUCUCAAAAAGUUUGGCAUAACAAUGUAUUUUUGAUCAAAUAAGAUAAGAAAAAAUGUUUCCACAAUAAUGUCUCUCCAAAUAUGUAGUCUUCUUGUAAUUGAUUUUUAUAAAUUAUCAAGUUCAUGGGUAGGUAAGGUUGCUUCAAAAGUAAAUGAUGUUUGUUGGGUUUUUUUUGUUUUUUUUUUUGGAGAUAAUUACUAUGUGGGUUCAUCUUGUUGUACCAUUAGUAUCAUAUGAGGACAUUUAUGAUUCACCGAAGAAGAUUUAAAUAAAUAAAUACUCCAAAUUUUUUCAUGAAACAAUAAUGAUACUUUUGCUUUGUUCUUGAAGUAUAUAAAGAUUGAAAAACCUAAUCAAAAAGAAAUUAAAAUUAUUUUUCUUCAGUUAAAAAUAGUUACAAAUUUCUAGAGGAAUUCGGAUUGUGAAAAAAAAUUAUUUGGAAUCUAUAGGUACGACUUUUUUUCAGAUUGAAAGCUGACAGUAUAUAGAAUUGUUUUCACAUUAAUAAUCAUUGGAAUAUUUGCAAGCUUUUCAUAAGCAAGAUACAUUGAAUUGAAUUUAUUGAUUGCGAAAAAAGAAAAAGUCAAAUCAACAAAGAAAAAUCGUAUUCGUAAAAGUCUUAUGGUUUUUAGUUGUACGGUAACGCAUAGCUAUUAUUUAUUAUUAGCCACUUAUAUUGACUAUAUGUGUUCCUUUUUAUUUUAUUUUAUUUUAUUUUAUUAUAAUUCAAUUUCUUAUUUUCAGCUCCAAAUCUGAAGCAACAACUAACAAAAGAAUUAUGCAGUGAGUCUAUCGGCUAUGGUUCCAUAUCAAUUCAGUAUUACAGAUUUUUGAGAUCUUGAUUGGUUUCUUUCGGUUUUCGAUUUUAAAAUUGAAACCGAUCUGAAUUUUAGUAUUUUCUGGUUUUGUUUCUAACCAAAAAUUAUAUAUAUUUUAGGAUAUUUCAGGUAUUUUUAGAUACUUUUGGGUUUUCAAUUAUUUCAAGUAUUAUUUUAGAUAUUUUGAUAUUUUUUCGUGUGGGUAUUCAAGUAUUUUGAAAUAUUUUAGAUAUUUAUUCAUUUUUCGGUUUGUUAUGAUUUGGUUUUUAAAUUUAGUAUACAUCUUGUUAAUACAUCAAUUUUGAUUCGGUUUAAAAGUUUAAAUGGUAGCAGCGAUUAAAGCGGUUUAAUCCGGUGAUAGAUUAGUCCAUUAUAACUAUUGUAACCAUUCGGAUCCUAAGUUAUUAAGGUUCGGUAUAUUUGGAUCAAUUUUUUUGCUCAUGCCACUAAGAGAAUUUGAACACGAGGUACAUUUGUGCAUCUAGAUGCUUAAGUUUUCGAUGAUAAGUAAACAAAAGGUCCAAAUCGCACUUUACAGACGUCAAAAACUUGAGAAAAUCAAAGGUCUCAAUCUCUUGGUAAUUUCAAACUCGUGGGGGCAAAUACCUAAAUAAACCCUAACUGUAUCGUAUAUGUACGGAGUUGCCAUUUAUGAUACAGACAAGAACAUCACGGGCUCCAAGUAAACUGUGAUCUACUGAUCUCUCUUUGUACGAAUCUUCUUUAUUAGUAUUGUAAUAGUUGGAAUCAUGUGGUGUAGCAACAUGUUACGUAUCUCCAAAGUUGUUUGUUUGUUGAAAUAUAUAUUUAAAAAAAAACAUUGCAUGAGUAGUGACAAUAAGAUUCUUGAUCAGUUUGUUCAAAUGUUAAUAUAUAAAAACACCAAGUUGACAAGUUCUGGUAGCUAUUUGCAAGUUUCCAGGACUAAGUCACAAUGAUAUGAUAUGUGAUGUAAGACAGUGUGUAUUAUUUCUUGAAAUGAUUGAUUAUUUUUGCACUAUAACAUGUAAUGGUCGUUGAGACUCACACAUGAUGACAUGAAUCAUCCGUUGUCAUUUCUGAUUGUUCUUCGAGUAUGAUUACGAUUCUGAAAGUAAAAAAUGAUCCUAUCACAAAUUGACAGUUGGUUAGAUGUAGUUUAUUAUCUUUUUCUAUCUAUAUAAUAUAUUUAUUGUAAAGAUUCUUUAACCUAUUUCACUUUAAAAAUAUAUUCAAACUAUUAAGUGAUUUGCUUGACUAAUAAUUAUGUAAUAGUUUAUCUAAACUAUGUAAAUCUAACAAAAACAAAUAACUAAAUCUAGACUAUUUAUAAAUAUAUAUUAUAAGAGUUAAAUAAUCUGUUAUACUAUAUUUUAAGUUCUUAGUCAAAGUUUAUCAAUAAUUAUUAGAAUAUUUGUUUGUUAAAAUUAAGAGAAUUUUUGAGAAAUACCUCUUUUGGUGUACCUCUUUUUAAAAAUACCACAUUUUCUAUUCAUUUUCAAAAAUACCCCUUUUCAAAUAUGAAAAAUUAUAAACUUUUAUAUGGUUGAUAAGGUACAUCAAGAUCAUCAUUACUACUGGGAGAAACGGCAUUUAUAUGAUUUUUAUAAAGUUUUUAAAAUGUUUACACAGUUUUUAUAAGCUUUUUAUAUGAUUUUUAAAAGGUAUUUAUACGGUACUUAUGAAAUAUAUAUAAAUUUACAGACAUGUAAAGAUAACUUGUGUCUAUAAAUAUAAGUUUAUACAUAUUUUUUUCAUAAAUUUCAAAUUUUAUUGUGACUUUUUGAUAAAAUUAGAAAAAGGGUAUUUUUAAAAAUAGUAUUGGAAAAUGGGUAUUUUUAAAAUUUCCCCUAAAAUUAAUGAAUAAUUUUUUUUUUUUGACAUCGUUAUAAAUUAUAUGUUUUUCAUUGAGAGGGACCGGACUCGACCCGGAUCUAGUGAGAAGGCAAUAGAGGUGAGAACCAC
rnacentral:lncRNA from 1 species